rnacentral:lncRNA from 1 species
UAAAUCCGUGUGUGGGGCCUUGUGCCGCAGCUAGUUCUGUAUACACCUUUUCUGAUUGUCAAAAUUGUUAGUGUUAGCAAUUUGGAGGGUUGGCGUGCACAGAGAUAUUAUCCUGCUUCGUCUGUCAACUCUGCCGAAGCUUCUUGUUGCUGAAAGUGGUCUGUCAUUCGGGUGACAUUACGUUUUGACGACUCAUAGUUUUUCCAUGUUCCUUUGCAACAGGAUGCGAGUCCUUUGGGGGUGUUGUUGGUUUUGGAAAUUAUAAGUUGUAAGAGGUUACUUAGUCUGUCAUACUAGCUGGUCCAUUUUCCGUACCCUUGAAUUGAUCAGUCUGGACCUUUGAAAAUACCCUGGAUGAUUGAUAUGGUAUUACAGUGUCUUGUCUAUUACAUUGGUAUCAAUAUAGAUAUUAAUAAACUCAAAUUGAUAGUACUUUGUUUCCUUUGGGAGUUUUCAGUUAUUGGCUUCUGCCUGAUUCCAGAAUGUGUAAAAAAAAGAAGAAGAAUAUUUGAGUAGCAGACGCAAACCUUUUGAAUAUUAGAGCUAAAUUUUUUGGCUACCCAAAUCCGCAUUUUAGGAUGUGCACCUUCCUCCAUUUGGGCGUCUCCAACAAAAGUUUAGGUAGCCAUAUUGCAGCGUACCUGAAACUGGAUGCCCACAUUUUGGCCGUCUUAUUCUGCACCGCACAAUCCUGUAUCCCUCCUGCAAAAUGACCAAAAAUCAUCCGGAUUAGGUCCUAUAAAACAGUCCCUGUCCUGCAGAAUGGUCCGUUCUGUAUUUUUUUUGAGUGGACCUUCAUAUUUUGGCCUCCGUCCACCAUAUUUCUAGGUUGGAUCGGCCCGGUUGCGAGCCGUCCUAUUGUAUGACUCGGGCUAUCGACUAUCUUUUUUAAAAAUUGGCCAGGUCGUGAGCCGAGCCGUUUGAUUGUAUGACGCAAGCCGUUCGUUUCUCUUCUUUAUUUCCUGCACAAGACCUUUAUUGCAAACCUUAUUCCUGCAAUACAACCUUUGUUGCAAAUCUUGUUUCUGCAACAAGACCCUUGUUGUAAAAUUUGCAAGAAUCUCUUCAGCCUCCCUGACCAUUGGAUGGACCCGCAAAUGACCGUCCUAUGUGCCCAUGUGUUGCAACCCCUUUGCAACAAGGAUGGUGUUGCAGAAAUUUUCUGCAACACAAGUCUGUAGAAAAAAAUUGCGAGUUUUUUUACACGGCUAAAACAUAGCCCUUGCCUUGUUGCAAAAACUACUCAUGGGGAAGAGAUUAUGGCGAGGAGGAAAGCCAGGAAAGAAGAGUAGGGGCAUGACGUGCAGCACCCGCAUGUCUGGCUUGUAGAACUGGGCGUCGGCGAAUGCCUCAACAGCCACGCCGCCGUUGAGCAUCCGCAGACGCACCUGACAGCCCGUUGCAGCAGCGAGGGACAUCGGUGGUCAGCUCGCAGCAGCUCGGCGGUCCGACCUCGAAGCAUUGCGCAUGGAUUGCUUACUUGGAGCGGCACUUGCGGCAGUGGCGGCUUGUGGAAAUCUUGGAGGGUUGCUGCAAGGUAGCAGAUGCUAGAGAGAGAGAGAGAGGGAGAGAGGGAGAAAGAAGAAGCGGCGACCUGUGCGGUGAAAAGUAACGAGUGGAUGAGAUGCAUCGAGUAGAUAAGGAUAAACCCAGUGCGUUGCUCAGUUUGUUUCUCAUGGGACACGUGUUGGACGUAGGAGCAGGUGGACGCGACUCAUGUGAUCGAUCAGUUGAUUCCAAUCAUUUCCCCUCCUGGUUUCCUUCCCCAUUUUACAGUUUCUUCUAUCCCUCGGAUGACUUGGGGGGAGGAAGAUUUUAGCCCCAACCGCUCUCGUUGCAGCAGCCGGCAUCACCGGCGGCGCCGCCUCCCGAGCUCGAUUCCAGUUGAAUGAAAGAGAAGCGGUAGGGCAAGGGUGCAGCUGCAUCAACCCUGCCAGCCUAUCGCAGUGGGAAGCGGGGCUCGUACAGGAGCUCCGCGCGGCCUGUGGGGCAUCUCGACCCCGACUAACUGGAGCUCAAGGCGGCCGACGCGGCACGGAACUCAUACACUCGAGAUGGUCGAAGCAAAGCUCGUACAUGAGCUCAAGGCGGCCGAAGCGAAGCUCGUAUGGGAGCUCGAGGCAAUCAGAGCUCGUAGAGAUGUGUCGUUGCAUUGGAGCGGCCUGGACCCAAUCGUAAUCUAGAUUUCGCUUUCAGGGUGUUUUGUGCUAUUUUUUAGGGAUCCUGUUGUGAAUGUAACUACUGACAAAUGGGCUCCAUGUCUGACAUGGAAGAUUUUUACGGGAUCUAUUCUGUCGGAGCACAUGCCAUACUGUAAAAACGUGUAAAAGCUGUUUCGUGGGAUCCUGUAAAUCGAUUUUGCUGUAUGAGAUUAUAAGGGAUCUACUAGAGAUGCUCUAAUGAGGAAUACUUGGGCUCACCUAGAGAUGGAGAUGGAGAGAGAGAAAGAGGGAGCAGUGAGAGGAAUACGGAAAGGGAAGGGAGGGACCGGGCGAGCGAUGUGGGGCGGCGGGGAUCACCGGUGGGAACGACAACAACCGGGCGAGUACACACGCGCAUGAGUUGCUCUCUGUCGCAACAUUGCAAUUGCAAUACGACUCUUGUUGCAUUGGCGAUGGGACAUGCCGUGAGCUGGAGAUUUUUUUGCAUCAAGGGCCUUGUUUUAAUUGCAACAAGUGUAAGUGCAUCUAGUGCCACCCCUAGUUGGUUUUGGAGUAUUGACGACAAACAUGGUUGAGGGACUAAUGUGUUUGUGAGAAUUGCAGGAUAACACAGGUAGUGUCCCUCAUUGAUCCGUUUUACCUAUCAGAGAUGACCCCUAAAAAUGUGUGAAGACAUUGAAGACAAUGGCGGUUCGUGAAGACAUUCACGACGAAGAUUAUGACACGUGAAGCUAUUCACUUGAAGACUAUGGAGUGCGAAGACAUAGUUGUUUCGUAGUUUCCUUUUUCUUCUUAUUGAGUCAUAGGAACCACCGUACUGUUAAGUGGGGGUCCAAGUGAACAAAAUCAGAAUGACUGAAGUGAUGCUCAACCAAAUCCUAUGUCUUCGAGCGAAGACAAUGAGAGAAAAUCUUAUCCAGAGCUGGAUGAGUCAGCUUUGCUUGUAGCCCAAGCCAAGCUGUCGUGUGUGUUUGAAAUCUGACUAUUGGACACGUGUCAGUUCCUUAGUGACACAGGGUCAUUUUGGACAUAUCAGGUCGGGUUGCCUCCUGGCUAUAAAUAUCCCCCCUACACCAUAAAUUGGUGGCUGCUCAGAGUUAGUGCACGGCUUUUGUCAUUUGAGAGCAACCCACCUCCGAAGCAUUUGAGAGAGAAAUCCUUGCGAGGACAAAGCCCAAAACACCCAGAGCCAAAGAGUGUUAGGCAUCACUGAAGUCUUUCUGUCCGAGUGAUCUGAAGACUUGUUACACUUGAGGACUGUGAAUCCUCCAGCCGGUUAGGCGUCGCGUUCUGAGCAUCCAAGAGUCAUUGUGGAUUGCCGGUGAACGAAGUCUGUGAAGGUUUGGAAGUCUACAUUGAAGACUUUCCAGAGUGAUUGGGCGAGGACUGGGUGUCCUUAGCUCAAGGGGAAUAAGGUUAAGACACAGUCUUCUGAGUUAACUCUCGGCCUCCCUAACCAGACAUACAGUUGUCACAGCAACUGGAACUGGUCUACCAAAUCCUUGUCUUCAUCAAGCUACUGGUUCUAUCCUCUACUCUCUUACUUUACAAUUGUCUUCGUGAACUCAUUGCUUGCCUGUCUAAUCUGUUUGACUUCACACUGUGAAGACUAUUGUCUGUUUAGCUUCGUACUAUCUAGCUUUCUGAUCCUGUCUACCUAGUUGCAAUUAGCCUUCGUGCCUUCAUUAUGUUGUAUGUUAGACUUAUGCUUGCCUAGUGUAGCUUUCAUUCCGCUGCGUACUAUAUAGGCUCAGUUUACCUGUUUGUCUUCAAAGCCACCAUGUCUUGAAGACUUUCAUAAAAUUGCCUAUUCACCCUCUCUAGUCGAUAACUAGCACUUCAAUUGGUAUCAGAGCAAGGUACUCCCUUGUUUUGUGUGAUUCGGUUUAACCACCUAGAGUUUUAGCUAUGUCGACUGCAGGGAUAAUCAAGGUGUCUGCUGCAUGCCCUGUCUUCGAUGACACUGACUACCCCUACUGGAAGAACAAGAUGCGCAUGCAUCUUGAAGCCAUUGAUGUUGAUCUCUGGUAUGUUGUCAAGACUGGCGUUCCUAAAGUCGGUGAAGGCGUCACCGCUGCUGAUGUCAAGAGGUUUGCUCAAUUGGACUCAACCGCCAAGAACAUCAUCUGUGGUCAUCUUACCAAAGGGCAAUAUAGUCGUGUGAGUGCACUGGAAAUUGCAAAGCUGGUCUGGGACUGGCUGUCCAAGGUCAAUGAAGGCGUCUCAACUCAGAGAGACUCCAGAAUCAAUGUUCUUCGCAAUCUCUUCAACCGCUUCAAGAGAAACGACAAUGAAAAUGUCUAGCUCACGUUCGAUUGCUUGACUGAUAUCACCAAUGAGCUGCGUGCUCUUGGCGCCACUGAGAUCACCAAGCAUGAGAUUGUGAAGAACCUUCCGAGAUCACUUGACAACUCGUUUGACACCUUAGCCCUGAUGAUUCAAGAACGUCCUGACUUCAAAGAUCUCGAUCCGUCUGACAUACUCGAGAGGCUCAACACACAUGAGUUCCAGCUAUCUAAGAAGCGUGAUAUCUAAGGUCCCAACUAUGGCCGAACCCGUGAUCUCAAGGCAAAGGCUAUUUCCUCAUCUGAGGAAGAAUCUGACUGCAGCUCUGGUGAUCCUGAAGAGCUUGGCAAAGAGCUUGCAAUGCUCGUGAGGAAUUUUUAGAAGUUCUCCAAGAAGAAUCAAUUCAACAAGUCUUCAAGAUCUAGCUCAAAGAACGACGAGGCUUCAUCACGUGACUACAAGAAGAGGACUUGCCACAAAUGCAAGAAUACAAGCCACUACAUCUCUGAGUGUCCUCAGUGGGAUAAGGAAUCGAAGAAGAAGAAGAGCAAGGAAUAUGAUUCUGAUGACAAGAAGAAGAAGAAAUCUUCAAAAUCUUCUUCAAAGUCUUCGUCAAAGUCUUCAUCUCACAAGAAGACCUCAUCUAGCAAGGCUCGUGCAUUUAUUGGCAAGGAAAUGGAUUCAGAGGAGGAGUUUGCUUCUGAGGAGACGGAGGUGGAGUCUCAGGAGGAGUCUGAUUCAGGCGUGGCAAGCCUGGCUCUGGCGUCAGCAUUCGUCGCCAAGUCCAUCUUCAACACUGAAGACAAUGGUCGUAGCGUUGAAGCCAAAGCUGAUGAUGAUGAUGACGACGACUCUGCUCCUACCUACUGCUUCAUGGCACGUGGUGCCAAGGUAACUUCACGUGAUGCCUACUUCCAAACCUCUAGUGAAGAUGACUCUGAAUGUGAAUCCAAACCUAGCUAUAAGACACUUGCUAAAAUUGCAACUGAGCAACAAACUGCUAUGGAACAUAUUCAAAAGCUACUAAACAAAAGUGAUGACCUAUUGGACACGGAAUUGAAUCAAACCCAGUCCUUAAUCAAAGACACUAAAGUCUUCGCGUUAAGUACGAAGAUCUUGAAAGUCGUCAUGAAACUCUCUCAGCCUUUCAUGAAAAGCUUUCCUACGAUUAUCUUCAAAGGAAGCAGUAUCUAGAGAAACUGAGAGCGUCUCAUGAAUAUCUUCAACAGGAGAACGAUUCACUACUCGGCCAACAGAUCAGUACCACUCAGGUAGAAUUUGUUCCACCAUGCUUAAAGUGUCUUGAGUGCGAUAAUGCUGUCUCUGUUGAUGAAUGUUCUACUGCCUCUGAUGUUGCAAUAUCUUCAACUGCUGAUGUGGUAACUAACCCCUCUACUGAGGAUGCCACUACUAUUGCUGAUGAGAAUGCUAGGUUGAAGACAUUGCUUGAGACUGGCAUGUACAAAAGUCUCAAAGGGCAUCAAACCUUGUGCGAUGUCCUCAAGAAACAGAUUCUGAACCAAAAUCCUAGGAAAGAGGGUGUUGGGUUCGAGGGGAAAAUGAACGUUGAUGGUUCAUAUUGGAAACCUGAGCAGUACCCCAAAACCACCUGGGUUGCUGCUAAGGAUCCUUCAGUGGACCCAUCUACUUUAUCUGGCUUCACUUGUGCUAAUCCAAUUAUCAUUGAUGAAUCCUUUGAUGCAAAUUAUAAAAUGUUUAAGAAUCAGAAUUGUGAAGUGUUUGCCAGGUACAUUGGUACUAACUGUAGGAAUGGGUCACCCCAGAAGAAGAUCUAGGUGACCAAAAGCUGUCUUGAGAAGCUUCCCGUGAAUGUCAUCAUGACACCACCUGGGAAGAAGACAAACCCCCAACCAAAGGCGUCAUAUGGUCCAAAGGCUUCAUACAGACAUAGGACCACCCAUAGUCACCCUAACGCCAAUGUUUUGCAGGAGAAUUGCUAUGAGACUUAUGAAUAUGAGCGUGUUUCAUCUAACCGCUAUGUUCACAAAACUAAGAACUUUUUUGCAUAUUCUUCUGAGUAUUAUUCUCCUCCUACAAAGCUAUUUUCUAGGGCUCCUAAACCAAAGUUCUCAGAUGCUGCACUUAGACUCAUUGCUUCUAAGCCACCCCUGAAGAUGUGGGUGGUUAAGAAGAAUUAACUUCUCUUGCAGGGAAAGGUCUCCAGCCAGAAAGCAAAAUCUUCUGAUGACAAUGCUGGAGACCUAAAAUAUCUUGUGGGAUGCAAGAUAAAUUGCUCCAAUGGUCUUAUCAUGUAUUUCGUCCUAGGGUUCCUUGAUGAGCAUCCUAUCAUGCCUAACCAGAAUCUACACUUUGAUAAUAUGCUUGUUCGCUACAUGUUUUUGCUUCACAAAACUCUUGGUGAAGCCUAUCCCGCUAACUGCACUGUAGGGUACAACUCCAAAAGCCACUGAAUGGAUCAUGGACAGCGGCUGCACCAACCACAUGACUGGUGAUCGAAGUCUUGUUAUGGAUUCAACCCUACGUCCAUCUACUAAGAGCCACAUCACAUUCGCUAACACUGGUAAAAGCAAGGUAUUGGGUCUUGGUAGAGUUGCUAUCUCAAAGGAACAACACAUGGAUAAAGUGAUGCUUGUUGAAUCCCUUGGAUACAACUUAAUGUCCGUGUCAAUGCUCUGUGAUCUAAACAUGAUUGUGAUAUUUGGAAAAUAUGGUUGUGUUGUGCUAAUGGAAUCUGACAAAUCUCUAGUCUUCGAAGGCUAUCGAAGAGGUGAUUUGUAUAUGGUAGAUUUCUCAGCAGGACCACAGCUUGCCGUAUGUCUUCUAGCAAAGGCUUCACAAUGCUGGCUAUGGCAUCAAUGGCUAGGACAUGCGGGCAUGAGGAACCUGCACACUCUCAUGAAGAAGAAGCACAUAAUUGGCAUCGAGGGCGUCAAGUUCAAGAAGGAUCAUCUAUGUGGUGCCUGUGAUGCUAGAAAGAUGACGAUACCCAAGCAUCCCUUGAAGACAAUCAUGACUACCUCACGCCCCUUCGAGCUGCUUCACAUGGAUCUAUUUGACCCUACUCACUACUCUACUCUCACUACUACUGCACAUCUCUAUGGCUUCGUUAUUGUUGAUGAUUACUCAAGAUACACCUGGAUGCACAUAAUUCUCUAUAAGACUGAAGUGCAGGAUGUCUUUAGACGCUUCGCAAACCGGGCCAUGACUAAUUAUGGCAUCAAGAUCAAGCACAUCCGGAGUGACAAUGGCACUGAGUUCAAGAACGCUGGCCUCGACAUUUAUCUUGAUACUUUGUGCAUCACACAUGAGUUCUCUGCUCCUUACACACCUCAGCAGAAUGGCAUCGUGGAGCACAAGAACAGAACUCUCAUUGAGAUGGCACGAACGAUGCUCAAUGAGUACAAGACUCCAAGAAAAUUCUGGCCUGAAGCUAUUGAUACUGCAUGCCACAUCAUUAACAGAGUAUAUCUUCACAAGUUCUUCAAGAAGACAUCUUAUGAACUUCUGACUGGUAAGAAGCCAAAUGUCAGUUACUUCAAAGUCUUUGGUGCUAGGUGCUGGAUAAAAGAUCCACAUCACAUGUCUAAAUUCGCUCCGAAAGCGCAUGAAGGAUUUAUGCUUGGUUACGGAAAGGACUCGCACACCUACAGAGUCUUCAACCUCUUUCACUAUAAAGUGGUUGAAACUGUAGAUGUGCGGUUCGAUGAGACUAACGGCUCGCAAAGAGAGCACCUACCAAAUGUGCUAGAUGAAGCUACACCAGGUGAGGCUAUCAAGUUAAUGGGUACUGGAGAAAUCAUAUCCACAGAGGAACUGGCUGCGGAUGAGAUUAUCAUUUCUGCACCUAAUGAAUCUAAAGACAAUGCUCAGUCCGAAGCCAAUGCUAAAGACGAAGACAACAAUCAGUCAGAUCAAAAUCUUCGUACAACUCAUCCUCGGGUUGCAAAAGAAGUCCAAAUUGAGAAGAUCAAUUAUAGCAUCAAUGCUCCUGGCCUUCUUACUCGAUCAAGAGCUACACAACUAACAAACUUCUGUGGUCACUUUGCUUUUGUCUCUAUAUCUGAACCCAAGAAAGUUGAAGAAGCCUUCAUGGAACCUAAAUGGAUUCAAGCUAUGCAAGAAGAGCUCGACAGUUUGAGCUGAAUAAUGUCUGGGAGCUUGUCAAACGUCCUGAUCCUCGCAAGCACAAUGUCAUUGUCAUGAAAUGGAUCUAUCGCAACAAGCAAGAUGGACUUGGACAAGUUGUCAGAAACAAAGCUCACCUUGUUGCUCAAGGUUACACACAAGUGGAAGGAAUAGGUUUUGAUGAAACCUUUGCUCAUGUGGCUCGACUUGAAGCCAUUCACAUAUUGCUGGCUUUUUCCAACCAUCACAACAUUCUUCUGUACCAAAUGGAUGUGAAGAGUGCCUUUCUCAACGGCAAAAUCGAAGAAGAAGUGUAUGUCGCUCAACCCCUGGUUUUGAAGAUCCUAAGCAUCCUGAUAUGGUGUACAAGCUCAACAAGGCACUGUAUGGCCUCAAACAAGCACCUCAUGCUCGGUAUGACACACUGAAGGAAUUCUUGAAGAACAAAGGCUUCAAACCUGGUUCACUAGAUCCCACUCUCUUCACAAAGACAUAUGAUGGUGAACUAUUUGUGUGUCAAAUAUACGUAGAUGACAUUAUCUUCGGAUGCACUGAUAAGAGAUAUAGUGACAAGUUUGGAUACAUGAUGCAAGAGCAAUAUCAGAUGUCCAUGAUGGGGGAGCUGAAAUUCUUCCUUGGUCUUCAAAUCUGUCAAUAGUGCAAUGUCAUCUUCAUAUCGGAAGAAAAAUACUUCAAAGAUUGACUGGAAAAGUUUGGAAUGCAAGACUGCAAAGGGUACAAGAUGCCAAUGCCAACCAAAAGUCAUCUCGGCCCUAACAACAAUGAUAAAGAGUUCGAUCAAAAGGUAUACCGCUCCAUGAUUGGUUCUUUGCUCUAUUUAUGUGCAUCUAGGCCUGAUAUUAUGCUUAGCAUUUGCAUGUGUGCCCGAUUCCAAGCAGCACCAAAGGAGUCGCAUCACCUUGCGGUGAAGCGAGUACUUCAAUAUUUGGCUCACACCCCAACACUAGGAUUAUGGUAUCCAACGGGCUCAAUGUUUGAUCUAGUUGGAUUAUGCUGAUUAUGCUGGUGACAAGGUUGAUCGCAAGUCCACAUCAGGAACAUGUCACUUUCUUGGACGAUCUCUUGUCUGUUGGUCUUCAAAGAAGCAGAACUGCGUAUCACUCUCCACUGCUGAAUCUGAAUAUAUUGUUGCUGGAUCUUGCUGUGCUCAGCUUCUAUGGAUGAAGCAAACUCUCAAGGACUACAACAUCAACACGAAGAAUGUGCCACUCUUCUGCGACAAUUUAAGCGCCAUCAAGCUUUCCAAGAAUCCGGUUCAGCACUCGAAGACAAAGCACAUCGAGAUUCGUCAUCACUUUCCUAGAGAUCAUGUCAAUAAGGAAGACAUUGAUAUCAUUCACGUCAACACUAAAGAGCAACUGGCAGAUAUCUUCACUAAGCCCUUGGAUGAGAAGAGGUUUUGCAAGCUGCGGUGUGAGCUAAAUAUCUUAGAACCCUCAGAUGUCCAGUGAAUGGACACACAUCCUAACGCUUAUGCAUGUUGACUUAGAUGUGCAACACACGAGGUAACGUAUUUCUUUAAUCAAUGAAGACUUACCCUCUGAGUGUGAAUACAUUAAUGCGGAAUUUGACUUCGGAGCGCCACGAUAAUUAUGCGCCGUGUCUGGGUCUAAUACUUCAUAUACGGUGGGUAACGCCACCACCACCAUUUUUCAAAGAUUUUCAUUUGGCGUCAUGGUUGCAUUAUCUUUGCAUUUGGAUUGUCUUCAACAUUGAUUUAUCUUCAAAAUCUAUAUCUUCGCAAUUUUGAUUUAUCUUCAAUGUGUCUCUCUCUCUCUCUCUAUAUAUAUAUAUAUAUAUAUAUAUAUAUGUAUAUAUAUAUAUAUAUAUAAGUUUUGUCCUCUACAACAUUUACUUAUAGCUAUGUCUUCAUGUUGCUUUUUUUUGAACUAAGUGAAUGUGAUCGAACCCUAAUCCCUUCUGUGCUACUCCCUCAAAUUCUUUCUGUCUAAGUCAUAUGCACUCUGUUGACACUUGUCGAAUAUCUUCUCUGUGUCCUUGUCAACAGAAGAUACAGAGACACACUUUUAAAGUUGUUUUUAAUGUCUUAUCAUUUGCCUGAAAACCAGAGAAGCCGGAAUGACCAUCCGAUAAAGCUUUCUUUCGCUAUGUUAUUUUGAUAAGACAUAAACUGCUUGGUUAGCAUGCUUGAAGUAUUACUAUUUUUAUGUCAAUAUUAAAAUUUUAUCUUGAAUCUUUUGGAUCUGGACAUUCAUGCCACAAUAAAUAGAAUUACAUUGAAAAUUAUGUUAGGUAGCAUUCCACAUCAAAAAAUUUGUUUUUAUCAUUUACCUACUCGAGGACGAGCAGGAAUUAAGCUUGGGGAUGCUUGAUACGUCUCCAAGAUAUCUAUAAUUUUUGAUUAUUCCAUGCUAUUAUAUUAUCUGUUUUGGAUGUUUAAUGGGAUUUAUUAUGCACUUUUAUAUUAUUUUUGGGACUAACCUAUUAACCGGAGGCCUAGUGCAAAUUGCUGUUUUUUUGCCUAUUUCAGUGUUUCGCAGAAAAGGAAUAUCAAACGGAGUCCAAACAGAAUGAAACCUUCGGGAGAAUAUUUUUUGAACAAACGCAAUCCAGGAGACUUGGAGUGGACGUCAAGGAAGCAACGAGGCAGCACGAGGUAGGAGGGCGCGCCCAGGGGGGUAGGUGUCGGUGUCAAAACCGGCGGAUCUCGGGUAGGGGGUCCCGAUCUGUGCGUCUUAGGCUGAUGGUAACAGGAAGCAAGGGACACAAUAUUUACCUAGGUUUUGGCGCUCUUGAUGGAGGUAAAACCCUACUUCUUGCUUGAAUAAUAUUGAAGAUAUGAGUAGUACAAGAGUAGAUCUACCACGAGAUCGUAGAGGCUACACCCUAAGAGCUAGCCUAUGAUGGUAUGAUUCUAAUUGUGAUCAACCUUCUAAGGACCAUGCUCUCCGGUUUAUAUAGACAUCGGAGAGCUAGGGUUUACAUGGAGUCGGUUACAAGGAAGGAAUCAUAAUAUACGGAUCGCGAUGCUUGUCUUCCACGCAAAGAAGAGUCCGAUCCGGACACGGGCCAGAGUCUUGAGUCUUGUAUCUUGACGCUUCCAUAGUCCGGACGAUGCAUAAAGUCCGGCAGUCCGGAUACCCCCUUAUCCAGAACUUCCUUAGUAGCCCCUGAACCAGGCUUCAAUGACGAUGAGUCCGGCGCGCAGUCUUGUCUUCGGCAUUUCAAGGCGGGUUCCUCCUUCCGAAUACUCCAAGGUUAUUAUCGAACACGUAGACCAUGUCCGGAUCUGCAAAAUGACCUUCACAUAGCACCAUAGAGAGAAUGAUACUUCAGCUGACAACUUUUAGAAGACACGAUACACCAUUACGGUUAGGUCAUUAUCCGAGCUGUUUUCCCACGCCCAGCCUCAGCGUAUAUUGCGAGGCGGUUUCCUCAGCGUGUCUUGUCGAAGCGAAGAUCGUGUCCCCUUAUCACGGGAUUCUCAUCAAUACGGGUACGGGUAAUCCAACCGCACCACUAAUCGCGGCGAGUGGGAGGUGAGUGGGUUCCACCAGGCAAGUGGGGAGGCGCAAAAAGCUCUUACCUUCUCUCUUAAAGAGACAAGGUCUCUUCCUCUUUUACCCACGCCUUCUCCUCUGCUCGAGCCCUAACACCCAGGCGCUCUACUUCUCCAUUGAAGUGAGGUUUUCCAAAGAUGUCUGGAUCUGGAGCAGGAGGCAAAUGGAUGGCCUCUACCGUCCGGGAGAAGGAUAUCAAGAGGCUCCGGGAAGCCGGGUAUCUGGCCAAGAAGAUUGGCCACCGUCUCCCACCGGCGGGAUAGGUUGUCCCUACUCCGGAGCCUCACGAGAGAGUCGUGUUCCUUCCCCAUUUUGUCCGUGGGCCCGGGUUUUCCCUCCACCCAUUUGUACGUGGAGUCAUGUAUUACUAUGGGGCUGAUUUUCAUGAUCUUUCCCCCAACUCUUUUCUCAAUAUCUCGAUGUUCGUCGUCGCAUGCAAGGCCUUCCUCCGGAUUCCGCCUCACUUCGGCCUGUGGCUGAAGAUUUUCAAUGUGAAGCCCAAGGUAGUUUGGCCGAAGGGCACCUUCAACGACUCCGUCAAGGAGUGGAAGCAGCAGUGGUUUUAUAUCACCGAACCAUGCGGCAAAAAGUGGGCCGCAGCUCCUGAGUUCAAAUCCGGAGCUCCACUGCGGCUCAUGUCCUGGCCCAAGAAGGGCCCAAACUGGCGCUUGUUCGAUGAGUUGUCACUGCUCCAGACGCGCGUUCAGAGUAUGGUUAACAAGGACGUCAAACUUGUUGACGUGGUCCAGGUGAUGCUAGUUCGCCUGGUUCUCCCUUGCCAACGUCGAGCCUGCACUUUGUGGGAGUUCGACCUAGCCGAUCACCAAACCCUCCGGGUGCUCUACGAUUCCUCCCACGAGGAUAUCUGGAAGGUGCUCUUCAAGUCCGGCAAAUGGCCGGAUUCUACCGAGGAUCGGGGGUAUCAAUUAUCCCAUUCUCCAAGCCCAGUAAGUUACAGCCACGCCCUGUCCAUCCAUGCUUCAGUUGGCAUGUCCCGAGGGAAAAUUCUAAUCGUGUCUCAUCGUGACCUCAGGGAUGGAUAAAGAAGGUGGAGCGGAUACAAUGUCCAGCCCCACUGCCGGAGGAACCGGCCGGACCUCUUCUAACGAAGAUGUUGGUCCCUGCGCCUUACAAGGCGCCCAAGAAGGAGGCCUCCAAGAAGGUCAAGAAGACCCGGAGUGGCCUCCGUUGUCGCAAGGCUUCAGACGCCAUAUCUGAAGGCUCCAGCGACACUCCUUCUUCCGAAGACGGAGAGGAGGAAGCAGAGGAGGACGAGCCCCGCUCUGCAAGCGGGAAGAAGCAUGCAGCUUCCCCAUCCCUGGAGGCCGAAUCGCCCAAGAGGGGGCGAGGUUCCCCUCCAGAGGCAUCCACCCCGGCUGCCGAUAACAGCCCAGAGUGGGAUCCCGAGGCCCAGCCCCUGGGAAAAUCGUAAGUAACCAAAAUCCGAAUAUGCCUAUGUAUCCAAGGUUGUUUGGGCAUAGUAGUUUUAAUUGUCGCCACAUCUCAUACAGCCCGGCAAGGUCUCCUGCCGGACAGUCCUCAUCGGAGGAUUCGUUGAGCUCGAAUGCUGUGGCGAGCGAGACGCCUCCGGGGACUCCUUUUCCGAAGUCCGGGCGCGACACCGAGGUGUUGUCUCAAAGAGACUUAGAGCCGGAUAAGGUUCGAGAGGCCUCUAGGGCUCCAGGAUCGGGCGAGCAGCCACCUUCCAUGGAGGGAGGUUUGACUACUCAGGCGGCAACCUCUGUCUAUGCAGAGCUGCUGGGUGGUCUAUUGACAGCGUUAAGGAACACGUCCGUCAUUGAUGAACAUCGGGCCCUUAUGGGUACAGUGGUUGGAAAGAUUCAGGCUGCCGAAAGCGGGCUAAAUGAGUCCUGCCUUGGCCUUAUAAAGGCUUUUGAGGUAUGGUUUCUAAGGAACCUUUAAAGAAUCAUCAUGAUAUGAGGAGUAGCCCCUGAUACACUGUCCGGCAAAAGAGAGCCGGGCAUGGGAUCAAACCUUGUAAUGGGAACCUUUGUUUAAUGAUGUAUACCCAUUUGUUUGAAAACAGGCAUCUGCGGAGAGGACUGCCGCUCAUUAUGUGGAAGUGUCCGAACUGAAGGAGAGCCUGGAACGGGCCGAAGAAGAACUUGGCCGUGUGAAGAAGCAAUUAGAAAAGAAGCAAGGUAUGUUUGAACAUUGUCUUGCAUUCGGAACCAAUGAAUAAGUGUGCUUAUUGAAAAGUAUUUAUGUCAUACACCCUAGGAGCGAGUGCCGAAUAUGAGGCGCUGAAAAAGGCGGCGACUGAUGCCCGCGAGAAGGUUGCCGCCGAACAGGUGCUUCAUGAAAAACACAAGGCCAGGGUCGUUACAGCUGAGUGGAAGCUCCAUGAGGCUGUGACGAAAAGCGAGAGCUUGGAGCAGAGUCUAGUAGGGAAAGAAUCCGAACUCGCCCAAGCUCUUCAAGCCGCGGAAGAUGCUCGGGAAGACGCCCGAGGUGCCGUACGGGACAUUCAGGAGGCCCAAAAAGUUGCGGCAGGUAAGGCGUAUUGUAUCUAUGGCCAUUAUUACGUUAUAGUGUGGAGAACUCUAAGCGGAAAGCUGAAUUCUUGAUUUUGCAGGGGCGUUUGCGGAUCUACCUCACAGCAUAUCAGAUGCUGCCCAAUUUUACCGGACCGAGGAGAGGGAGUCUGCGGAGAGGAACUUCUGGUCGCAGUAUCUGACGCCGAACUAUCCGGUGCCUUUUAUCGAUCAGCUGAAGCAGCUGGUCGAACUGCACCAGGCGGUCGAACUAGCCAUGAAGGGCUACUGUGGCCCGCAGAGCCAAUUCCAAGCAGUUACUUCGGACUCGUGAAGCGGAUUGUGGGCGCCUGUCCUCGGCUUAAUACUAUCAAGCGAUCAGUCUGUAUAGAAGGUGCUCUCAUGGUGCUUGCCCAUGCGAAAGUGCAUUGGGGGAAGCUUGAUGCAGAGAAGCUGAUCACUGAGGGGCCACCGGAGGGUAAGGAGCAUCGCAAGCCCGAACUGUAUUAUGAAGGUGUAAUGAAGGGUGCCCGCCUGGCGGCGGAUAAGUGCACCAAAGACAUUAUAUUUCCCUGAGGGCAUUCUUGCCAAUGUUUGUAAUAUGGGAUAAUGACACUUUUAUUAUGUAUUGCCUAUUUUGUGUGAACAUAUGUUCUUCCCGCACGGCUGUUUAUUGUAUGUAAAUUCUGAGAGUUGGCCAGUCGUCGGCUUCAGCCCCCACGUGAGAAGUACGGGGGUGUUUGGGGUAUUUCUGAACACUCUUUAUCCCAUGGUUGGGUCCAUUUAAGGAGGUGUUUCUCACCACGAACCAGGCAAUCAGACUAUAUAUGGCUUUACUACUCUCACUUAGCCAUAGGAAUUCGAGUAUGGUCGGCGCAACCCCUAGUGUUCGGAAGGCCGAACUAGGAGCUCUAUUGGCACCUGAUCGGAAGACCGAUCUGUCACAAUCUGCAUUUUAUAGUGGAGUUAUGCGGAAUAAAUAUUUAAAGAUUUUACAACCUCUCGAAUAGCUGACCAACUCUCGCUGCAUCAUGACAGUCGGUUUUCGGCUUUCUCUAUUGAGGUGCUCGUCCGGCAGAACCGGGACACAAUCGCAGUAGUUCUCCCGGUGCUACCUUAGCCGACGGAACGGAAUGUAAGGUACCAAAACAUGGGAGCCGGGCAAACCCAACCAAUGACCCAAGACAUGAUUCGGAGCUGAUGCAUAUAGUGCUAUAAGUUCGGGGUGCCGAGCGACCGAAAAGGUGGUCGGACUUUACUGCCGUACUGUGAAGCCCCUGGCAUAACCGGGUGUAACACGAAGCAUGGCUGCCCUUUUCUGGCAAAGAGGCGUCGAUGAUAAACGACGGCCGGCGCAUGUUAUUUAAGUCUACGCAUUACAGUACGAUGAUAUGUCUAUGCAUAUGAGUGCGAUUUAUGAUUAUGAAAGAGGAAUGGUUUUCGCGGAACCUGUGAUGACCGGACUGGAGGGGGCUGUGAAUGGAUCGAAAGUGAAUCCGAACUGCCUUCCGCCUGCAUGGUUCUAUCCUUGUGUGUUUGGGCUGAUUCCAUGCCGCCGAUCCUGUUCUGCAUAAAAGGUAGUUUGUAAAGGUAAAUGCUGGGAAGCAGCCGAGCGUCCUCCCGUGGUUGGUCUAAAUGUUCCUGAUCGGACCCUGGUGACCCCGGCCGUUAUUCUGAGAAGUAACCCGGACUCCUCAGUUGGUGUCCGGAUAGUUGGCUGUCAUAUCAAAAUAUUGAUAGGUGUGCACGACUUGUUACUCCGGCAACGGUAUGAUUUCCACUCUAGUGGCGGGAUUUGGCCUUGUGCGUAGGCGCAAGUAUAUCACUGGUGUUGGCCUUUACGGCUUACCACAUGGAAUCUAGUCAGCGUGGUUCAUCCUGUUAGCAGACAGUGAGUUACCGUAUGAGGGGGAUGCGCCGAUGGCAUGACACUUUUUGGUUAUUUCUAAGAACAACCAUUAGAGCGGUGGGCCAAUGAACUUGGCCUUUGCACCGGACGCCUUAUAGAAGGUGUUUAUUUGUAGAUUCAUCCCCGUGUGGGUUUUAUUUGUUAUGGAGCCCCUGGACUACUAGGUCGGGGGGGUAUGGCAAUUGACUUGCUGUGGUUGGUAUGAUAAGGGGGCGAUCGGCCGUACUGUUGUGCCCUGGGGGGUCUCUUGACUGGACGCAUCCCUUCAUUGUUUCCGGCACACGACCGUUCGCUUUGUUUUGAAGAUCCGGCAUUCCCUAUUGGUAUGCUUUGCCGUUGAGGGAGUCCUGGACUAGGGGGUGUCCGGACAGCCAGACUAUCAUCGUCGGCCGGACUCCAAGACUAUGAAGAUACAAGAUUGAAGACUUCGUCCCGUGUCCGGAUGGGACUUUCCUUGGCGUGGAAGGCAAGCUUGGCGAUACGGAUAUGUAGAUCUCCUACCAUUGUAACCGACUCUGUGUAACCCUAGCCCUCUCCGGUGUCUAUAUAAACCGGAGGGUUUUAGUCUGUAGGACAACAACCAUUACAACAAUCAUACCAUAGGCUAGCUUCUAGGGUUUAGCCUCCUUGAUCUCGUGCUAGAUCCACUCUUGUACUACCCAUAUCAUCAAUAUCGAUCAAGCAGGAGUAGGGUUUUACCUCCAUCGAGAGGGCCCAAACCUGGGUAAAAAUAUCGUGUCCCUUGUCUCCUGUAACCAUCCGCCUAGACGCACAGUUCGGGACCCCCUACCCGAGAUCCGCCGGUUUUGACACCGACAUUGGUGCUUUCAUUGAGAGUUCCUCUGUGUCGUCACCGAUAGGCUUGAUGGCUUCUUCAAUCAACAACAACGCCGUCCAGGGUGAGACUUUGCUCCCCGGACAGAUCUUCGUGCUCGGUGGCUUCGCACUGCGGGCCAAUUCACUUGGCCAUCUGGAGCAGAUCGAAAGCUACGCCCCUGGCCAUCAGGUCAGGUUUGGAAGCCUAAACUUCACGACCGACAUCCGUGGGGACUUGAUCUUCGACGAAUUCGAGCCACAGCCGAGCGUGCCGCGCUGUCACGAUGGACAUGAUUUAGCUCUACCGCCGGACAGUGCCCUGGUGGCCGCACAUGAAUCCGCUCCGACCCCUAGUUCGGAGCCGAUCACGUAGAUCGAGGACGGGUGGCUGGACACCGCCUCGGGGGCUGCAACUUCUACGGCGAUGGAGCCAAAUACCGACCCGGUCCCUUAUAAAGCUUGUGACUCCGAGGCACCGGACUCCUUGCCGGACUCCGAACCUCCCGCGCCCCUGCCGAUCGAAUCCGAUUGGGCGCUGAUCAUGGAGUUCACCGCCGCGGACAUCUUCCAACACUCACCCUUUGGCGACAUCCUAAAUUCGCUAAAGCAUCUCUCACUAUCCGAAGAGCCCUGGCCGGACUACGCCCAGGAUGGUUGGGAUGCGGACGACGAAGAAAUUCAAAGCCCACCCACCACCCACUUUGUAGCCACUGUCGACGAUCUAACCGACAUGCUAGACUACGGCUCCGAAGACGUCGACGGUAUGGACGACGAUGCCGGAGACGAUCAAGAACCAGUGCCUACAGGACACUGGAAGACCACCUCCUCAUAUGACAUAUACAUGGUGGACACCCCAAAAGAUGGGGACGGUGAAGAAGCAGCGGAGGCAGAUUCCUUAAAGAAACAACCCAAGCGCCAACGUCAGCGGCGCCGCUCUAAAUCCCGCCACAGCAAGAAUGGAGAUUCCGGCACAGGAGAUAAUAACACCCCAGAAAGUGCCGAAGACAACCCCCUCCAGCAAGAUUCAGCGCAGGAGGAUGCAGAAGCAAGCCCUCACGAGAGAGCGGCAGACGAAGAGGUCGAGGAUGAUAAUUACAUACCUCCCUCCGGAGACGAGGCAAGCCUCGACGACGACGAAUUCGUCGUGCCUGAGGAUCCCGUCGAACAAGAGCGUUUUAAACGCAGGCUAAUGGCCACAGCAAAAUGCCUAAAGAAAAAGCAGCAGCAGCUUCAAGCUGAUCAAGACCUGCUGGCCGACAGAUGGACCGAGGUCCUCGCGGCCGAAGAGUAUGAACUCGAAUGCCCCCCCAAGAGCUACCCAAAACGCAAGUUGCUCCCCCGACUAGAGGAGGAAGCAUAUAUACCUUCAUCACCAACGCACAAUACGGCAGACCGACCACCCCGUGGUCGCGACAGAGAGGCACCUAGGCCCUCCACCAAGACCGUACCCCGGCAUCGCUCAAAAAGUACGAAGCCACGAGGGAACGCACCGGACUUGCGGGACAUAUUGGAGGACAAGGCAAGACAAUCCAGAUCUAUCUAUGGAUCACGUGGGCGCCCCACGACCCACGACGAAUACUGUCGUGCCGGAUACAGCAACUCCGGCCGGGCCGAACACAGCAAACAACGCUCUCUUGAGCUACAUCGUGAUAUUGCUCAAUACAGAGGCGCCGCACACCCACUAUGCUUCACUGAUGAAGUAAUGGAUCAUCAAAUCCCUGAAGGGUUUAAACCCGUAAACAUUGAAUCCUACGAUGGCACGACAGACCCUGCGGUUUGGAUCGAAGAUUAUCUCCUUCACAUCCAUAUGGCCCGCGGUGACGAUCUCCACGCCAUCAAGUAUCUCCCACUCAAGCUUAAAGGACUAGCUCGGCAUUGGCUUAACAGCUUGCCCGUAGAGUCAAUUGGGUGUUGGGAGGACCUGGAAGCCGCAUUCCUCGACAACUUCCAGGGCACAUAUGUGCGACCACCAGACGCCGAUGACCUAAGCCACAUAAUUCAAUAGCCAGACGAAUCGGCCAGGCAAUUCUGGACACGGUUCUUAACAAAGAAAAAUCAAAUCAUCGACUGUCCGGAUGCAGAGGCCCUUGCAGCCUUCAAACAUAACAUCCGCGAUGAAUGGCUGGCUCGGCACCUAGGUCAGGAAAAGCCAAAAUCCAUGGCAGCCCACACAUCAUUAAUGACCCGCUUCUGUGCGGGAGAGGAUAGCUGGCUAGCUCGCAGCAACAACCUCAGUAAAAAUGCUGGCAGUCCGGAUACUAAGGACCACAACGGCAGGUCGCAUCGAAGCAAAAACAAACGCCGCAUUAACGGCGACAACAAUGAGGAUACGGCAGUCAACACCGGAUUCCGAGGCUCUAAACCCGGUCAGCGGAAGAAGCCAUUCAAAAGAACCACCCCGGGUCCGUCCAAUUUGGACUGAAUACUCGACCGCUCUUGCCAGAUACAUGGCACCCCCGAAAAACUAGCUAACCAGACCAACAGAGAUUGUUGGGUAUUCAAGCAGGCAGGCAAGCUAAUUGCCGAAAACAAUGACAAGGGGCUGCACAACGAUGACGAGGAAGAGACCCGGCCGCCGAACAGUAGAGGACAGAAGGGCUUCCCCCCACAAGUGCGGACGGUAAACAUGAUAUACGCAACCCAUAUACCCAAGAGUGAGCGGAAGCGUGCACUGAGGGACGUAUAUGCGAUGGAGCCAGUCGCCCCGAAGUUCAAUCCAUGGUACUCUUGCCCGAUCACCUUCGAUCGAAGAGACCAUUUGACCAGUAUCCGCCAUGGCGGAUUCGCCGCAUUGGUUUUAGACCCAAUCAUCGAUGGAUUUCACCUCACGAGAGUCCUGAUGGACGGCGGCAGUAGCAUGAACCUGCUUUAUCAGGAUACAGUGCGCAAGAUGGGCAUAGACCCCUCAAGGAUUAAACCUACAAAAAUGACCUUCAAAGGCGUCAUACCAGGUGUUGAGGCCAAUUGUACAGGCUCAGUCACACUGGAAGUGGUCUUCGGAUCCCCGGAUAAUUUCCAAAGCGAGGAGUUAAUCUUCGGCAUAGUCCCGUUCUGCAGCGGCUAUCAUGCUCUGCUCGGACGAACCGCGUUUGCAAAGUUCAACGCGGUGCCGCAUUACGCAUACCUCAAGCUCAAGAUGCCAGGCCCUCAUGGAGUCAUCACGGUCAAUGGAAAUACGGAACGCUCCCUCCGAACAGAGGAACACACAGCAGCUCUCGCGGCAGAAGUACAUAGCAGCCUUUUAAGGCAAUUUUCGAGUCCGACCGUUAAACGACCGGACACGACCAAACGCGCCCGGAGCAACAUCAAUCAAGACCACCUGGCACGUCCCGAGCAUGCGUAGCAAUGCGGCCCCAACCCAAGCCCUCGCAUAAUUGCAAGACCAGCUCUCCGCAUACAUCAUUACGCUCUGGAGAUACCAUGGGCAUAGGGGGAGGGGCACGACCACAACAGACCCAGAGUGCGGCUCGACCACACCAGGGGCUCCCAAGUGUGUCGCUCUUUUUAUUUUCAUUUUCCUUCUUUUUAUACACAGGACUCCGUUCACCAGAGGCCCUGUCCGGCGGCGAACCCGCCGAACUCACGAUGCAACAACCAGGGAGGGAAAAAGGCUGCGACGAACACUCAGGUGGUCUCAAUUACGAGCAUUAAAUUUGAUUAUAUACACCAGUCCGCAGCCCACCCCUGGAGGGGGACAUGUUUAAUUAGUCCAAUCCCUUGCUUACCGCACUAUUUGUAUCAUUCCGCACUCAUAGCAGAAUUCCUUGAAUAAAUAAUGCAACACCUUUUGCCUAUAAUUGCAUUACUUUACAUAUAUGUUCAUUAAUGACAUCUUGCACCCGUAUAUUUUGGUACGGCCGAAUACACCAGGGGCUUAUGUUCCCCGCAUUAUGGUGUGAUAAGUCCGAACACUUUCACAAGUGCGGCACCCCGAACUUAUAGCAUUAUAUGAAUCGGCUCCGAAUCAUGUCUUGGGUCAAUAGUUGGGUUUGCCCGGCUCCCAUGUUUUGGUACCUUACGUUCCGUUCUGUCGGCUAAGGUAGCACUGGGAGAACCACUGCGAUUGCGCCCCGGUUGAGCUGGGCGAGCGCCUGAGUGGAGAAAGCUAAAACUGACUGUCAUGAUAAGGCGAGAGACUGGUCGCUGUUCGAGAGGUCUUUUCGAGUCCCUAAAGACUUAUGCCGCUUCGAGCGAAGAACCGGAUAAUGUCCGGCCAAGGCGUGGAUAGCGCCCCGAACUCGGUCUUCCGAAUACUAGGGGCUUCGCCGAAAUUUAAAAUGAUAGAAUUCUAUGGCUAAGUGAGAGUGUUCAAGCAUUAUAAGUCCGGUUGCCUUGUUUGUCGUGUUGAGCGCCUCCCUAGAUGGACCCAAAAAUGGGAACAAGAGUGCUCAAGUUUAUCCCGAACACCCCAGCACUAGUGGCAUGGGGGUUGAAGCCGACGACUUGCCAUCUAUCAGAUUUUAUAAACGGCCGCACAGAAGGUAAUAUUUUAAAUCAAUAAGCGUUGCUUAGCGCAUAUGAACAAAGUUUUUAGCGCACAGGAUAACAUAUUGCGAGUUUACUCAAUAGUUACAUCUCUGGGGCACUCAUCCGCAAUCUUGAGGGCACCCUUCAGGACAGUCUUAUAGUACAUCUCGGGCGUACGAUACUCCUUGCCCGCCGGCGGCGCGUCAGUGAUAAGCCUCUCCGCAUCCAGCCUGCCCCAGUGCACCUUUGCGCGGGCAAGGGCCCGACGAGCACCUUCAAUACAAGCGGAGCGCUUGAUGACCUCCACCCAGGGGCACGCAUCCACCAGCCGCCGCACAAGGCCGAAGUAGCUCCCAGGCAUGGCCUCUCCAGGCCACAGCCGGACUAUGAGGCUCUUCAUGGCCUGCUCGGCUACCUUGUGGAGCUUGACCAGCUGCUUCAGCUAGUCGCUAGGGGGCACCGGAUGGCCGGCCUCAGCAUACUGAGACCAGAAGACCUUCUCCAUUGAGCUACCCUCCUCGGCUCGGUAGAAUGCGGCGGCAUCGGACACGCUGUGAGGUAGAUCUGCAAACGCCCCUGGAGAGCUCCGAAUUCGGGUAAGUGUCAGGUAGUUCACAUUAACAUGCUUGCUUUGCAUGAAAAAUGCCUUACCCACCGCUAUUUUCUUCACCGCCUCAAUCUCCUGGAGGGACUUAUGGGCCUUGGCCUUGGCGGCUUUGGCACUUUCGAGAGCCGAGGAAAGCUCGGACUCUCGAGUCUUUGAGUCACGCUCCAAACUCUCAUGCUUUUCCAUGAGAGCCUGGAGCUCUUGCCGCACCUCCGCCACCCGCGCCUCCUGCUUCUCUCGCUCUGUCCGUUCCGCGGCCGCAUUGCGUUCGGCCGCGGACACAACCUCCUUCAGGGUUGCCACCUCGUUCGUGGCCCCUGCAGUACCCAUGUUAUCCUUGUUAUUUUUGUCGCAACCUAAAUCCUUUUCUGUAAGGUAAAAAUUCAAAGUGGUGUUACUCACCUUCUUUGUCCUCGAGCUGCUUCUUGGCACGGCCGAGCUCUUGCUCGGACCGCUCGAGGUCCUUCUUCAAAGCACCGACCUCCGCAGUCAGUGCGGCAGAGGUCAGCAGCGCAGCCUGCAAACCCAUAUUGACAUAAUUUUUAGCAACCCUGCGUAUAUCUUUUUUAGAUCCUCAGUCCGGCUUUUCUUUCCGAACACCGUACCGAGCAUCAGGGGCUACUGUCUAUGCGUUAUUACAUUGCACAUUUUAAACUUCUUACCUCAAAGCCUGUUAGAAGGCUACUGCUGGCUUCGGUCAACCCGCUCUUGGCGAGCUGAACCUUCUGAAUCACCGCACUCAUGAUAGUGCGGUGUUCUUCCUCGAUGGAAGCGCCUUUGAGCACCUCCAACAAGUUGUCCGGCGCCUCCGGUUGGACAGAGGCCGCCGGCGUCACGGUCUUGCCCUUCUUGCGAAGGGGCCGCCGACCGGACUCCGGAACCACUGCGGGUUCCGGCGUGGAGUCCGGCGCAAAGUCCGGGAGGCUGCCUUGUGGCGCCUCCGGAGCCUCCUCCUGAUGGGUCCCUUCUCGGGAUCCCACCUCGGCGUCCUCAGCAUCGCGAGGGGUGGAGGUAGUCGGGAUGGAGUCUACAUCCGACGGAGCCAACGACCCGCUCGAUGAAGCGGGGAGAUCAUCAUCGGCCGGACUGCAGGUAGCGUGCGACAUUAGAAGGACACUAUGUGACACAAAAGAGAAAUUAUAAAUCAUUUAGGAAUCCGGAUACUUACGGUCUUGCCGGAGGCCUGGCCCUUGAGGGCCACUCUUCGUCGCCAACGUUGGUGUUGGCGGAGCUGUCCGGGGGAAUAGUCCUUCCCCUCUUGGACCCUUCGGCCUCCCCUGUCGGGGAAGCCUUCCUCUUCCUCUCUCCUUCCUCUGGGAGAGAGUACUCUUUCUCCUCCUCAUCUUUGGGGGAGGAGUCCGCCUCGGAACCAUCAGACGAUGAGUCCGAUAUCACCUAGCGCCGGGAACUUCUUCGAGUCCCGUGGCCUUUUCUUGGCCUUCUUCUCCGGCACCACAUAGAGUGCCGGGACUAGCAGCCCCGUUAGGCGGGCGUCCGCUGGGUCUUCAGGGAGGGGAGCCGGACAGUCUACCUUUCCGGACGUCCUCUGCCAGUCCUGUCAAAGGCAUUGGGAGUUUUUAGAUCCCACAUAGAGUCAAACUAUGAAAGAAAACAACUGUCCCAUAGAGGAUAACGAAGCUUACCUCACCGGCCGGGCGCUUGGUGCUGAAUCCGCGAUCUUCAGUCGCGGACGCGGGGGCUUCUCCGCCCUUGAACAGCACCCUCCAGAUGGCUUUGUACAUCGUGUCGAAGAGCCCGCUCAGAGUCCGGUGCUGUGCCGGAUCGAACUCCCACAGGUUGAAGGCCCGUUGUUGGUAGGGGAGAAUCCGGCGGAUGAGCAUGACCUGGAUCACAUUGACAAGCCUAAGCUUCUUGUUCACCAGGGUCUGAAGACAGGACUGGAGUCCUGUCAGCUCCUCCGAACUGCCCCAUUGCAAGCCCUUCUUUUUCCAGGAGGUGAGCUGCAUCGGGAUACCAGAUCUAAACUCAGGGGCUGCCGCCCAUUUUGGGUCGCGCAGCUCGGUGAUGUAGAACCACCCCGAUUGCCACCCCUUGACGGACUCCACGAAGGCCCCUUCGAGCCAGAUGACGUUGGGCAUCUUGCCCAACAUGGCGCCUCUGCACUCCGCUUGGACGCCCUUCACUACCUUCGGCUUGACGUUGAAGGUCUUGAGCCACAAGCCGAAGUGGGGAUGGAUGCAGAGGAAGGCCUCGCACACGACGAUAAACGCCGAGAUGUUGAGGAUGAAGUUUGGCGCCAGAUCGUGGAAGUCCAGGCCGUAAUAGUACAUGAGCCCCCGGACAAAGGGAUGCAAUGGGAAGCCCAGUCCAUGGAGGAAGUGGGGAAGAAAUACAACCCUCUCAUGGGGCCUGGGGGUGGGGAUGAGCUGCCCCUUGUCGGGCAGCCGGUGCGCGAUGUCGCUGGACAGAUAUCCGGCGCUGCGCAGUCUUUCGAUGUGCCCCUCCGUACAGAGGAGGCCAUCCACUUGCCUCCCGCUCCGGACAUGACUGGAGAAGGUUGAGACGAGAUGUGCGGGCUUGGGCGCUGGAGCUCGAGUGCGCGGAGAUGAAUAAGCAAAGGAGGAAGAAGGCGUAGGUGGAAAGGUGGAUCCUUAUCCCCUUAUAUAUGGACGGACAAAGACUAUGCGUCCCCACCGGCCUAGUAAAACUUGCUUAUCUCCGGGACACCACCAUCAAUGGCGCGGUUGGGUUACCCAUGUCCGUAUUGAUGAGAAUCCCGGAAUAAGGGGAACACGAUCUCUGCUUCGACAAGACGUGCCAAGGAAACCGCUUCGCUAAACGCGCUAAGGUGGUAUAGUAAAAAACGAUUCAAGUAAAGGCUUGGUAGUGGUGUGACGUCAUGCCACAAAAUACGUCAGCAGAUUGAACCUGUGUACAUAUUAUUCUCUCUACGGUGGAAUGUGGAAUUUAUUUUGCAGAGCCGGACACUCCUGGUGUUCACAAUCUUCUACGAAUUACUCGGAGGAGGAACCCGCCUUGCAAUGCCGAACAUUAUGCGCGCCGGACUCAUCGUCAUUGAAGCCUGGUUCAGGGGCUACUGAGGGAGUCAUAGACUAGGGGGUGUCCGGACAUCCGGACUAUCAUCGUCGGCCGGACUCCAAGACUAUGAAGAUACAAGAUUGAAGACUUCGUCCCGUGUCCGGAUGGGACUUUCCUUGGCGUGGAAGGCAAGCUUGGCGAUACGGAUAUGUAGAUCUCCUACCUUUGUAACCGACUCUGUGUAACCCUAGCCCUCUCCGGUGUCUAUAUAAACCGGAGGGUUUUAGUCUGUAGGACAACAACCAUUACAACAAUCAUACCAUAGGCUAGCUUCUAGGGUUUAGCCUCCUUGAUCUCGUGGUAGAUUCACUCUUGUACUACCCAUAUCAUCAAUAUCAAUCAAGCAGGAGUAGGGUUUUACCUCCAUCGAGAGGGCCCGAACCUGGGUAAAAACAUCGUGUCCCUUGUCUCCUGUAACCAUCCGCCUAGACGCACAGUUCAGGACCCCCUACCCGAGAUCCGCCGGUUUUGACACCGACAGCCGUCCUCCUAGGAGUACCCUGAAUUUCGCAUGGUUGAUCAAGUAUGUUGCUCGGGCCGAAUAGGCUCGGACUGUUCUUUGUCCGUUGAUCGGACUGGGAGUUGCUGGACUUGACGCCAGCUUUCCUGACUUGACGUUUAUUACCAAUGCGCCGAGGCUUUAGGACGCUUCUUCGUGUAUCCUUCUUAUUGUCUUGGACUGUAGUGGUGUGCGGGCGUUGGGUUGUGUGCCUUUGGAUCGCCUGCUUAGGUUGAGUUAGCCUAUUGUGCCGCGUAUGCCCUUUGUUAGGGCGGUCGAGUCCAUACUUUUCGGUGGCCAGGAUCUUAGUCCACCUAUCCAUUAGCAAAUCCUGGUUGAUGUUGAGCUGCUCUUGCUUCCUUUGCAGGCUUCUUGCCGUGGCCUUGAGUCGUCGCUUGAAGCGAAUUUGUUCCACUGGGUCUUCAGGCACGCUGAAUUCGUCAUUGCCGAGGCUUACCUCGUCUUCGGAUGGGGGUGUAUAGUUGCCCCUCUCCAAGUAUCCCACUGUGGCCUGCCCGUCCUGCUUGAUGGCUUUCUGAUUAGGGCUGUAUUCCUCUUCGGCACCAUCCGGAUUGUUUUCAUCUCCGGGGCCGGCAUUGAUGUGGCGGGGCUUGGAGUGGCGCCGAAGACGCCCAUACUUUUCUUUUCCCUCUGAGGGGUUGUCCUCUGUUGCCUUGUCGCCAUUGGUUUCUUUUGGAGUGUCCACCAUAUAUAUAUCGUAUAAAGAGGUGGCAAUCCGCCGCCCUGUGAACGGUGGCUCCUGUAAGUCUUCUGCAUCGUCGCCCAUACCGUCGAUGUCUUCGUAGUCGAAGUUGAGCACGUCGGUUAAAUCAUCGACCGUGGCAAUGUUGUGGGUGGGUAGCGAAUUCCUUCGUCACCUACUUCCCACUCAGGCCGGACAUAGUUCAGCCCAGAGCCUCCUGACAAAUAGAGAGACUUUAAUAAGUUCAGCAUGUCGCCAAAGGGCGAGUGUUGAAAGAUGUCCGCAGCGGUAAACUCCAUUACCGGAGCCAAACCUGGCUCGGCUGGCUCGAGGGUGUGCGGACCGGAACCAACAACCAGAUACGAGUCCAGGGGCCCGGGGUUACAGGCCUCCACAGAGAUGAGACCUGUGUUCGGCUCCACCGCCGAUGAGUGUACGGCCUGCGAGGCGGGGUCCACCCCUCCGUCCUUGGGCAACGCAACCUGCUCCAGAUUUAGAUCCGGGGCUGCUGCAGGGAUGAUGUCCUGAGCAUUGUCCGACAGCAGGUCUAGGCCGUGCUCAUCGUGACUGUCCGGCGCCCCUGGCACCAGCCCGAAUCCAUCAAAGAUUAAGUCUCCGCGAAUAUCCGCCACGUAGUUCAGGUUUUCGAACCUGAUCUGGUGGCUAGGGGCGUAGCUGUCGAUCUGCUCUAGAUGACCAAGCGAAUUGGCCCGCAGUGCGAAGCCGCCGAACACAGAGAUCUGUCCGGGGAGAAAAGUCUCGCCCUGGACUGUGUUGUUGACGGUUGAAGAUGCCAUCAAGCCUCGUGACGACACAGAUGAACUCUCAAUGAAAGCACCAAUGUCGGUGUCAAUACCGGCGGAUCUCGGGUAGGGGGUCCCGAUCUGUGUGUCUUAGGCUGAUGGUAACAGGAAGCAAGGGACACAAUGUGUACCCAGGUUCGGGCCCUCUCGAUGGAGGUAAAACCCUACUUCCUGCUUGAUUAAUAUUGAAGAUAUGAGUAGUACAAGAGUAGAUCUACCACGAGAUCGUAUAGGCUAAACCCUAAGAGCUAGCCUAUGAUGGUGUGAUUGUAAUUGUGAUCGGCCUUCUUCAAUAGAUGAUCAAAAAGUUGUUGUAAAACCAAUAUAGGGUACGGGAGAUAUUUUCUUUCAUCACGUCGUCCGUUGCUUUAAGAGCAUCUUCAACCAAGGUUUGGUUAUCGCUCAAAAUUUUGUGUUAUCCAGCGGUUACUGAGUAUUUUGCUGCCCCCCAUUAAAUGGGCCUAUGGAGCAAAAAAUUGGAAUUUGAAUUUUCUAAUUUGUACGACCAAUAUAUAGUGAGUGGAUAAGUAUUAGGUGAUACCAACACAUAGGUGCUGCCAUGAUACAAACUUGAAAAAUUCAAAUUUAAACUUUUCAGAAAAUUCUAAAAAAAUCAUGGAUGUUAACAACACAUAUGUUGACAACCUAUAAAAAUUCAGAUUAAAAUUCAAAAUACACACCAAGGAACAAAAACGAGAAAUCCAUCAUGAUAGUGUCAAAAGAAGACAAAAGCAGAAAUGACAUUAUUCACAUCUGAAUUUGUCUUUUUGGUUUCUUCAUGUGUAAUUCGAAUGUCAAUCUGAAUUUUUUAGGGGUAGUCGACAUAUGCAUUGCGAAUAUCCAUGGUUUUUCAGAUCUUUUUGAAAUGUUUAAAUUUGAAAAUUUCAAGUUUGUAUCAUGGUAACAUCUAUGGAUUGGUAUCACUAGAUAUUUUCCCAUAGUGAAGUAGUGUGGGAACUCAAUUUGAUCACAAUGCAGUCAAUAACAUAGUGGUAGUAGUGCGCUGGUCAUUGGGCCACAAUGUGGUGGGUCCGAAACCACGUUUUGCUAUUUUUUCUACCUAAAUUCUAAACCCUCUCUUAUUCUAUGUUUGCCUAAUUCAUUGGACAUACAACGGAAUUUUGGAAAAAAAGUAAGACAGGGGUAGGGCAUCUACAACGAUGAUCCGUAAAUUUUCUCCAUCAUUUGUCCACGGAUAAGGGGACACCUGUCCCCGGACACGGAUGCAGUAGGCGACCGUCCAACGUUACCUGCAUACACUUCAACCACUAUUUGAACUAAUCAUACGAAAUUCAUGCAAACAUGGCAGAUUUCAUUAAAGCUUGGAUAGAAAAUAGCACAAAUCACUCAUAUAAAGAAUGCAAAUACAGUCUAGACUACAACAGUUCAAAUUCAACGAGAUUUACCGGAUGUUUAACUAGUUUUUCAUGAAUGGAUCAUGUCAUCCCACACAUACUGCCCCUUCAGCUUCAUUCAACAAUGUAUGUACAUAAAUGACCGUCCCUCUAUCCCGAGGUACAUCACGAUAGCGAGUACGGGAUACAUAAUGUGUAGAGCAACAUUGAAUGAACGAAUGAAUCAAUCAAGAGGUUGAGCAAGAUGAAGCAAAACUUACGAUCUCUGUGGCUGGCACACGCAAUGGCAUCCUUGCCUCCAACAUAUUAACCGUGCCACAAAAUUUGGUGACGCCCGUCUGGAUGGCGUACCAUUUAUACGAUAGUGGCCACACAUUGUGAUCAUGGAUGAUGUGCAUGUUGUAGGGUGCAAUGUGCUUUCGCGCGUGAAAUGAAUCAUGCACGCGCUGCCAGAACGGGCCCCUCCACUCCUAUCUACAAAAUCUACGGAUACGACUAACCACGCAUCACAUAAAAACUCAUACUCCAUGGUCGAGUACGUGCUCAUCCUUCUUACUCUCAAAAUGGCAUGGUGUUCAAAAAUAAGCUCAAUGACAUUUGACCAAAUACCUACCGGGCAUGGUGACCGUCAUGGACAAAUUCGACAAUGGCAGAGUGUACCUUCCUAUGGACGAGUUUGGUGGAUGAAGUCGUCUUAAAAAGCGAGCAGUCACACCGGUGCUGGUUGAAGCAUGCUAGUGUGCCAGCCAAAGAGGUACAUCAGCAACGACGGAUGAGGAGGUUACAGAUGCAGAGCACGGGUAGAAGGGGUGGAUUGGAAGAAAAUGGGACCGGGAUGGGGGAUUUAGUGGGCCAGGGGUAUCAGAGUCAAACGUGUCGGCUGUCUGGACUCUGGCAAAGCCCUACCCCCAACUUUGUCUUUGUUUUGCGGGAUAAAGUGUGCCCGGACCGCUUGACGGACAAAUACAGGCUUGCAUUGGAUGGCACAACACUUUCGGACCAUGCGGUCCAGAUGAUUGCGGGUGGUUUGAGGGUCGGAGUUGGAGAUGCCCUUACCACCAAGGUACCGAUGAAUGUUGAAACAAAGUAACAACCAUUAUGCCACAAGUAGGUUUGGAACUAAAACUAGUUCUGUAACCAUUUGACUCACCCUAGAUACUUGAAUUCAAAUUUCAUUUGAAAAAUUGGGAAGGUAUUUGCUCGAUAUUUUGUGGUAACCAUGGUAACUGCAUUUUUUUACCCCUUGUGUAAUUUUUAUAUGUUCGGUAGCCAAAAAAUUAUCUCCAACAAAUCAUCAAAAACACCUUCGUGAUGACAAAACUGUAAUUUACACCACUUGGGCCAAAACCUGCUCCAAUAGAUGCCCUAUAUGCAAAUGGUGACAUAUUUUUUUGCAGCAACCCAAUAAUUUAGCGCCAAGUGCUGCAAUUGUGUAGCACAUGAGCUGCUACUGCAAAAGACCAAAUAGGCCAGGUGCACUCCCAGCCGCCUAUGGAAGUUCCCUCCGCUCGACGGCCUCCCACCCUCUCCCGCUGCAGCCCAUCGAUUUAGCAUUGAAGGUCAUUCCGAUGCCAUUGUCGAUGCAGCCAGAUUCACAUCUACUCCCACUGGACCUGUGAUACGUCUCCAACAUAUCUAUAAUUUUUUAUUGUUCCAUGCUAUUAUAGUAUCAAUAUUGGAUGUUUUAUAUGCAAUUAUAUGCAAUUUUAUAUCAUUUUUUGGGACUAACAUACUAACCUAGUGCCAACUGCCAGUAGUUAUUUUUUGCUUGUUUUUGCUUUUCAGAAAAUCAAUACCAAACAGUGUCCAAACGGAGAAAAAACUUUGGAUUAAUUUUUAUACCAGAAGGGAAGGUUCGGGAGAAGACCUGAGGAGUCAUGAGGAAGCGACAAGAUCAGGGGGCGCCCCUUGGGCUUGUGGGCCCCUUGUGGCACCUCCUGGCCUAAUUACAACUGUAUAAAUUUCUAAAUGUUCCCAAUACAACAGAUAGCCACCCGAAAUAGUUUUUCUGCCUCCACUACUUUCUGUUCUUCCAUGAUCCCAUCUGGAGGCCUUUUCCGGCACCCUAGCCGAGGGGGAAUCAAUGUUGGAGGGCUUCUACAUCAUCCUUGCUGCCCUUCCAAUAAUGCGUGAGUAGUUUACCAUAGACCUACGAGUCCAUAACUAGUAGCUAGAUGGCCUUUUCUCUUUCUUUGAUCUUCAAUACAAUGUUCUCCUCAUAGUUCUUGGAUUUCUAUUCGAUGUAAUCUUCUUUUGCGGUGUGUUUGUUGGGAUCCGAUGAUUAGAAUAUUCAUGAAUAUUAAUCAAGUAUUCUCUGAAUUCUUUUAUGCAUGAUUAUUAUACCAUUGUAUUUCUCUCCGAUCUAUCGGUUUAGUUUGGCCAACUAGAUUGAUUUUUCUUGCAAUGGGGAGAGGUGCUUUGUGAUGGGUUCAAUCUUGCGGUGCUCAAUCCUAGUAGCAGAAAGGGGCAUCACACGUAUUUGUAUUGUUACCAUUAAGGAUCAAAAUAUGGGUUUAUUCAUAUUGCUUGGGUUUACUUUGUCUACAUUAUGUCAUCUUGCUUAAGGCGUUACUCUAUUUUUAUCAACUUAAUACCCUAGAUGCAUGCUGGAUAGCAGUCGAUGGGCGGAGUAAUAGUAGUAGAUGCCAGCAGGAGUUGGUCUACUUGUCUCAGACAUGAUGUCUAUAUACAUGAACAUUGCCUUGAAUAUCGUCAUAACUAUGCGCUUUUCUACCAAUUUCCCAACAGUAAUUUGUUCACCCACUGUACUUUAUGUGCUCGAGAGAGAAGUCUCUAGUGAAAACUAUGGCCCUCUGGUCUACUUUAAUCAUAUAUAAAAUCCAAAAAUACCUUGAUGCAAAUUUAUUUCCUUUAUUUUAUUUUGCAAUUUACUUUACCUAUCUACCACUACGAGAUUUGAUCCUUGCAAACAACCGCCGAGGGGAUUGACAACCCCCUUGUUUCCGUUGGGUGGAAGUAUUUGCUUUUGUGUGUGAAGGUGUUGCUAACAAGGUUCUGUGUGGUUCUCCUGCUGGAUUGAUACCCUUAGUUCUUAACUGAGGGAAAUACUUAUCUCUACUGUACUGCUUCAUCCUCUCCUCUUUGAGGAAAUCCCAACGCAACUCACAAGUAGCAACCCAUAACGGUCCCCGCCGUGGUAGAAAUGGCGGAUCACAUUGCGGUAGGAUUCCCCUUCCCAUUGGGGGUGCGGGCAGCCUCUAACAACUCAGUCAAACUCACCUAGCUAGACAUAGUACAAUCAUGCCUAACAGUGAUCAUCAUCGUAGAUAUGCAAGCAAUGCAUCUGUGACCAUCCACAUCAAUCAUUUUUGUAUUAAACUGUCUAGGGCAUCUGUAAUGUCGUCCUCGAAAUCACUCACAAACAUUUGAACUCGGGGGUUCAGGCGUAUUUUACCAUCCGAGGCGGUUUCAUAAAUGUUUGAACUCUUGCAAACCGGUCACAAACAGGAGGGGGGGGGGUUCUUUGAGUCCGGAUAUUCGCCAUGCAAGACUCCGACAACCCCGACAUACUCACAUCCCCUCUCCUGGCCACUUUUAUCUCACUUCGUCCCUCCCCCUUGCUCUAUAGCUGCACUCUCCUUGGUUGAUGCCACUUUACCACUCUGACCACCAUUCAGGACUUGUCGUAUGUCUGCUAGACCCCAUCCGCCUACUCUCCUUACGCCAAUGUCCACCCUAGAUCCGUCCUCCAUCAGGUAUCCUCUGCCCCUUGCCGACGCUAUCAUAUAGGACACCACAACCAACAAGUGUUCGACCAAAUGACACUUAGUUGAGUUCAUCGGCAGGGUGAUCUACGCCAUCGGGAGAGGAUGGCAUCAUCGUCCUCGAACGGUGUGCAGAAGGGCAUCGGCUCCAGGUUGCCCCAAACGGCUAGAGCUCGACUGGCAGAAGUUCUCGGGAAGCUGGAGAUCUCUAAGGAAGAGGCCACGUCUCUUGUGAUCGACGAUCACGCCGAGGGCGAGCAACCAUAGUGGUCGCUGAUACGUAUCCGUCGUAUCUACUUUUCCUAACACUUUUCCUCUUGUUUUGGACUCUAAUUUGCAUGAUCUGAAUGAAACUAACCCAGACUGGUGCUAUUUUAAGCAGAACUACCAUGGUGUUGUUUUUUGUGCAGAAAUAAAAGUUCUUGGAUUGGAACUAAACUUUGCGAGGAAUUUUUAUAUAAUAAAAGAGAAUUUCUAGAGCCAAGAAGCACCGGAAGGGGGCACCUGGGUGGGCGCAACCCACCAGGGCGCGCCCCCACCCUCAGGCGCGCCCAGGUGGGUUGUCCUUGUCCCAACCCGGUGGCCCCGAACACUCCAACCCUGAUACUAUAAAAUCACAUAUUUGGAGAAAAAAAUUAUAAAGGAAGAAUUAUCGCAUUUCAUGAGACGGAGCCGCUGCCGCCUCUAGUUCUUCAUCAGAAGGCCAGAUCUGGAGUCCGUUUGGGGCUUCAGAGAGGGGGAUCUUCGAUCUUCGUCAUCACCAACCCUUCUCCAUUUCCAAUUCCAUGAUGCUCCCCACCGGGAGUGAGUAAGUCCUUUGUAGGCUUGCUGGUCGGUGAGGAGUUGGAUGAGAUUCAUCAUGUAAUCGAGUUAGUUUUGCUAGGGCUUGAUCCCUAGUAUCCAUUAUGUUCUGUGAUUGAUGUUGCUAUUGCCAUGUUUAAUGCUUGUACUUUUGGCCUAGGCACCAUGGAUUUAGAUCUGAGCCGUUUAUGUUAUCACCAUUAUAUUUAUGUUCUAGAUCCGGUCUUGCAAGUUAUAAUCACCUACUAUGUGUUAUGAUCCAUACACCCCGGAGUGACAGAAGUCGGGAUACUUUCCGGUGAUGACCGUAGUUUGAGGAGUUCAUGUAUUCACUAUGUGUAAAUGCUUUGUUCUGUUUAAAAGGAGGCCUUAAUAUACCUUAGUUUCCAAUUGGACCCCGCUGCCACGGGAGGGUAGUACAAAAAAUGUCAUGCAAGUUCUUUCCAUAAGCACGUAUGACAAUUUACGGAAUACAUGCCUACAUUAUAUUUAUGAACUGGAGCUAGUGUCAUAUCGCCCUAGGUUAUGACUGUUAUAUGAUGAAUAUCAUCCAACGAAUUCACCAAUCCAAUGACAAUUUAUAGAAUACAUGCCUACGAAUUUCUCUUAUAUUGUUUCUGCUAAAUGACUACUGCUACUGUCACUAUUGCACUUGCUACAAAAUCAUUGAUGUUACUGCUACUGUUACUAUUGUUUCUGCUACUACUAUCAAAGCUAUGAUUCUACUUUGCUACUGAUCAUUUUUCUGCAGAUAAUUAAUCUCCAGGUGUGGUUGAAUUGACAACUCAGCUGGUAAUACUUGCAAAUAUUCUUUGGCUCUCCUUGUGUCGAAUCUAUAAAUUUGGGUUGAAUACCCUACCCUCGAAAACUGUUGCGAUCCCCUAUACUUGUGGGUUAUCAGGCGCUAACAGGGAAGGUCCUACAUUGUAAUACCCUUCAUAUGCAGACCAUUGCUACUUCUUGAGCAUGCAUUGGUUUUUCCUUUGAAGAGGAAAGGGUGAUGCAGCAAAGUAGAGAUAAGUAUUUCCCUCAGUUAGAGAACCAAGGUAUCAAUCCAGUAGGAGAGAAUGCACAAAUCACCAAGACCUGCACAAACAAUCAAGCAACUUGCACCCAACGCGAUAAAGGGGUUGUCAAUCCUUCACUGUUACUUGCAAAAGUGAGAUCUGAUAGAGAUAGAUGAAACUAAACAAAAUAUAAAUUAAAUAUUUUUUGUAUUUUUGGUUUAUAGAUCGGAAAGUAAAAGAUUGCAAAAUAGUAGAUCGGAAACUUAUAUGAUGGAAAAUAGACCCGGGGGCCAUAGGUUUCACUAGUGGCUUCUCUCAAGAUUGCAAAUAAUAUGGUGGGUGAACAAAUUACUGUCGAGCAAUUGAUAGAAAAGCACAAAGUUAUGAUGAUAUCCAAGGCAAUGAUUAUGAAAUAUAGGCAUCACGUCUGUGUCAAGUAGACCAACUCUUGCCUGCAUCUACUACUAUUACUCCACACAUCGACCGACUCCUGUCUGCAUCUAGAGUAUUAAGUUCCUGAAGAACAGAGUAACGCAUUAAGUAAGAUUACAUGAUGUAGAGGAAUAAACUCGAGCAAUAUGAUGUAAACCCCAUCUUUUUAUCCUUGAUAGCAACAAUACAAUACGUGCCUUGCUGCCCCUACUGUUAAUAGGAAAGGACACCACAAGAUUGACCCAAAGCUAAGCACUUCUCUCAUUGCAAGAAAAACCAAUCUAGUUGGCCAAACUAAACCAAUAGUUCGAAGAGAAUUACUAAGAUAUCAAAUCAUGCAUAUAAGAAUUCAGUGAAGAUUCAAAUAAUUUUCAUGGAUAAGCUGAUCAUAAAUCCACAAUUCAUUGGAUCUCAACAAACACACCACAAAAGAAGAUUACAUCGGACAGAUCUCCAAGAGCAUCGAGGAGAGCAUGGUAUUGAGAUUCAAAGAGAGAGAAGAAGCCAUCUAGCCACUAGCUAUGUACCCGUAGGUCUGAGGUAAACUACUCACGCUUCAUCGGAAGGGCAAUAGAGUUGAUGUAGAAGCCCUCCGUGAUUGAAUCCCCUCCGGCAGGAUGCCGAAAAAGGCCCCUAGAUGGGAUCUCACGGGUACAGAAGGUUGCGGCGGCAGAAAAGUGUUUUCGUGGAUGCUUCUGGUGGUUUCGGGAUAUUUGGGAAUACAUAGGAUGAAGACACGGGGGGCCCACAAGGCAGGGGGUGCGCCCUACCCCCUGGGCGCGCCCUUCCGCCUUGUGACCGCCUCGUGGCUCUUCCGACUUGAUAUCCAAGUCUCCUAGGUGUCUUCUGGUCCAAUAAAAAUCAUCCCGAAGGUUUUAUUCCGUUUGGACUCCAUUUGGCACUCCUUCUCUGCGAAGCUCAAAAAACAGGAAAAAACAAAAACUGGCACUGGGCUCUAGGUUAAUAGGUUAGUCCCAAAAAUAACAUAAAAUAGAAUAUUAAUGCAUAUAAAACAUCCAAAACAGAUAAUAUAAUGACAUGGAACAAUCAAAAAUUAUAGAUACGUUGGAGACGUAUCAAGCAUCCCCAAGCUUAAUUCCUGCUCGUCAUCGACUAGGUAAAUGAUAAAAACAGAAUUUUUGAUGUGGAAUGCUACCUAACAUAUUUAUCCAUGUAAUUUUUCUUUAUUGUGGCAUGAAUGUUCAGAUCCAUAAGAUUCAAAACAAAAGUUUAAUAUUGACAUAAAACAAUAAUACUUCAAGCAUACUAACAAGGCAAUUAUGUCUUAUCAAAAAAACAUGGCCAAAGAAAGUUAUCCCUACAAAAUCAUAUAGUCUGGCUAUGCUCCAUCUUCAUCACACAAAAUAUUCAAAUCAUGCACAACCGCGAUGACAAGCCAAGCAAUUGUUUCAUACUUUUGGUGUUCUCAAACCUUUUCAACUUUCUCGCAAUACAUGAGCGUGAGCCAUGGACAUAGCACUAUAGGUGGAAUAGAAUAUGGUGGUUGUGGAGAAGACAAAAAGAGGGAGAUAGUCUCACAUCAACUAGGUGUAUCAACGGGCUAUGGAGAUGCCCAUCAAUAGAUAUCAAUGUGAGUGAGCAGGGAUUUCCAUGCAACGAAUGCACUAGAGCUAUAAGUUUAUGAAAGCUCAAAAAGAAAAAAUAAGUGGGUGUGCAUCCAACUUCCUUGCUCAUGAAGACCUAGGGAAAUUUGAGGAAGCCCAUCGUUUGAAUAUACAAGCCAAGUUCUAUAAUGAAAAAUUCCCACUAGUAUAUGAAAAUGACAAAAUAGAGACUCUCUAUCAUGAAGAUCAUGAUACUACUUUGAAGCACAAGUGUGGAAAAAGGAUAGUAACAUUACCUCUUCUCUCUUUUUCUCUCAUUUUUUAUUUUUUUAUUGUUUUUGUUUGGCUUCUUUGUCCUCUCCUUUUUUUAUUUCCUCACAUGGGACAAUGCUCUAAUAAUGAUGAUCAUCACACUUCUAUUUAUUUACAACUCAAGAAUUACAACUCAAUACUUAGAACCAAAAUAUGACUCUAUAUGAAUGCCUCCGGCGGUGUACCGGGAUGUGCAAUGACUCAAUAGUGACAUGUAUGAAAGAAUUAUGUAAAGGUGUUUUUGCCAGAAAUACGAUGUCAACUACAUCACUAGUACAAUGAGGUGCUAUACAAACGGUUUUUAAUCCCUUUCCGCGACGACGUUCUGAACCGUCACCUAGUGAGUGAGUGCGAUAGGGGGGGGGGGGUCCUUCCCACAUGACCCAGAAACCGUCGGGGAUAUGCCCUCCUGGCACACACGCUCGGCAAAUUGAGGUCGUGUGCGACCGACGAGCGAUCAAAUACGGUUAUACGUAUAGUAGUGCUAAAAAAUAUAAUUAUAUAGGAAAAAUCAUUUCUGGUUGUAAGUACAUCCCACACAGCCAGUCCCCACUAAACGUUUCCGUUCGUAUAUACAUCCCACACAGUCACUCCAAGGAAAACGUUUCCGUUUGCAGGUACAUCACACACAAUUUUCCCCGUUAAAUCAUUUGUGAUAGCGUUGCCAUUGCACAUGAUAUUAACAAUUUUAUCGUUUGCAUUAUUGAAUGUAUCACACACAGUGCGUAGAACAAACUGUGUGGCAAAGGCUGUCCAUCACACAUAGUUUUUAUGUGGUAAACAUUUGUGCAAGGUGUCCUAACGCAAAUAGUUCUCAAGAGAAUGUCGUGUGUCAUUGUUCAUUGAUCCAACAUGGUUUAUUCCUAGAAACUGUGUGCGUUGCCUGAGGUUAUCACCCACAAUAUUUUCUUAAUAACCCUUUGCAAUAGCAAAACCCAUUUAGCAGGCUAAUUCGCCAUUAGCAGGCUAAUUGCCAUAUUAUUAAUAAUCCAUUUAUUAAUUUAAUUGACAUUCAUAUUAAGCACAUAAUAUAUUUAUUUUUGUUAUUAAGGAAGCAUGAUUUCAUAAUUGAAAUACAUCAGAGUACAGCAUGAUAUAACUUCAGCAGUCAGCUACCCCAUUACACAACUACACCAGCACCAAGUUUCACAUGCAACAUCUAGAACCUUUCAAAAUUAGGAUCAUAGACGGUACAUAGACAAAUGCAUCUCAUCUGGAAAAAUGCUGAAGCAGAAGGUGAAUAUUGAGCCUUCAUUCAUGUUGAAGGUCUUUGCAACUUUAGGACAGUGCAUGUGGAUGAUUGACCGUCCAUCCUUCGUCCUCUUCAGGAACACUUGAAUAUUGAACCGUGGGUGCUGUAUGAAAACCUUCCUCGCCUCCUAACCAUAGAGGUGGUUUGAGAGGUAAUCAUCAGUGGACUGCUUUGAAAAGGCCUGAAAACAAGGAUGUGCGUAAAUAUCUUCUCUAUAUUGGAAAUGGGGCAAAGGAAUAAAAAAGGCAAGGUAUAAUAGUUAGUACCAUCUUGUAGUGAACUGAUGUCUUCUUCAUUGUGCAGACAAAGAUCUUGUUGUUUUUAUCGCUAAUUUAUUUAUCCUAACAAUCUUUCCGAGUUUCUUGACUUGAUUUAUAUUCAUGGAAAACUCAUUUCCCAUUUGCAAAAAGGGUCGAACAGUGGGUCAAAACCUCUGACAGCAGGACCAACAUGUGCAAGACCAAAUCGUUAAAGACCUAAAUAUUAGAAUGGUUACUGCAAUUGCAAAAUAAUGUGCUAUUAGACAAUAGACCAUGCACGUGCUAACCUCGAUUGUAAACCUCAGUGAUUCCCAUUGUUUCCCUGCAACACAUAUAAGGUACUUAGUCAUCAGGUUAAGUAAGGGUUCGCAUGCUAUCAGUAAAAUAUGUUGAUGAAAAAUAAGCACAUUGCAGAUUCAUCAGAUUAAUUCAAGCCACAUGGAAAACCCAUUUAUCCAAACAAAGCAUGAUUAAGAACUAGGAAAUAUAGCACUUGUAUAUGUUUCUCAUGUAUUAAGUGCAACCAAAUUCGAUUUAUUCCUCACAUGCACAACAAUACAAAAUUCUACCCAUGACAAUUGGACAUCGCAUUGCAAAAUUGAACCAAGCAGUUAACUAAACACCACAACAAAUGAACGAAACAUUAACCGAGCACCACAUUGCACAAUAUAACAUACUCCUAAUAGAAGAUCAGAUAGUUAACCAAACCAAGCAUGCUUAACAACUUGGAAAUAUAGCAAUUGUAUUUGUUUCUCAUGUAUUUACUACAACCAAACUCAAUUUAUUCCGCACAUGGUAUACAAUAACAGAAUGCACCCACAACAAUUGAACAUCGCAUUGCAGAAUUGAAAGAAACAGUUAACUAAACACCACAACAAAUGGACCAAACGUUAACUGAGCACCACAUUGCACAAUGUAACAUACUCCUAAUAGAAGAUCAGACAGUUAACCAAACCAAGCAUGCUUAAUAACUUGGAAAUAUAGCAAUUGUAUUUGUUUCUCAUGUAUUUACUACAACCAAAUUCAAUUUAUUCAUCACAUGGUAUACAAUAACAGAAUGCACCCACAACAAAUGAACAUCGCAUUGCAGAAUUGAACCAAACAGUUAACUAAUAAACACCACAACAAAUGGACCAGACGUUAACUGAGCACCACAUUGCACAAUAUAACAUACUCCUAAUAGAAAAUCAGACAGUUAACCAAACCAAGCAUGCUUAACAACUUGGAAAUAUAGCACUUGUAUUUGUUUCUCAUGUAUUUAGUAAAACCAAAUUCGAUUUACUUCUCACAUGGUAUACAAUAACAUAAUGCACCCACAACUAUUGAACAUCGCAUUGCAGAAUUGAACCGAACAGUUAACUAAACACCACAACAAAUGAACCAAAUGUUAAUUAAGCACCACAUUGCACAAUGUAUAACCAAACCAAGCAUGCUUGCCAACUUGGAAAUAUAGCAAUUGUAUUUGUUUCUCAUGUAUUUUGUAAAGAUCAAUUCAAUUUAUUUCUCACAUGGAAGACAAUACAAAAUUGUAGCCUGAAUAAUUGAACAUCACAUUUGAAGAAUUGAACCAAACAGUUAACUGAAGACAACAACUAAUUAAUCAAACAGUUAAUAAGUGAGCACCACACUUCACGACAUAUAGAACAUAUACACUAGAGCAACAUAUUGCAUGGUAAAAUUAGAUAGCACAUUUCACUAGAAUUUGUUAAGGAAAGGCAGGAGCAUCACACGCAACAGGUAAACCGAGCAUGCUUAACCAGCGUAGCUAGUAAACUGCAAGGUGCUCCUCCAAGAUCUGGGGGUCAGCAUGAAUGGCAGCCAUCGCGACCUCAUCCGCGCGUGCGGCCGCGAUUUGCUUCUUCGCAGCCAAAUGCUCCUUGAGCUCCUAGCUAUACUGCGUGCACCAUGGCUUAGGGUGGCGCUUAUUUGGUGAAGGGGUUGGUGAUUUGGGUGGAAGGCCGGCGGUCAAGGCAUGUGGGAUGUGGAAGGAGGAGGAGGAUGGGGGUCGGGUGUGGAUUACCUGCCUGGAUAGACAAGGCCGAGCAGCGUGAAGGAGGCCCGCCGACAAGGAGGCGGCGCUGCAAGCAAGGAGUGAAGGUUUUAACUUGGAAAGGAAGGUGGAAACAUGGGAAAUGUGGCUUUUGUUAAGGGGGAGGGGGCGGGGAGGUAGAUAUUUCUGCGGAAGCCGAAAAUUUUGAAUCGGUUCAGCGAAAAAACUGGUGCGCAAAGUGUCAUCAGACAUGGUCCCUUAUUCAGAACUGUGUACGAUAUGUGAUCAUCACAAACGAAUCAAAUAGCUUAACCCGUGUGUGAUGAGUUUGAACGUCAAAAUUUUUGGUUCCAAUUUCCCUGGUUACAGUGGUCAUCCACGUCAUUGCAUAAUUUGGGUACACAAAGGAGACUACAACACACCCGCACUUCUUAAUCGAGCAAGUUCAACAAUUAAACAGAGCUAGAUGGCCUAAACAUUACUCUAACAAAUUAAAGACAGGCACUCUUAAUUAAACAAAACAAAGAGUACUACUACGGCUGGUGCUCGCCGAUCUCCGCCGCCUCCUCCAUGUCCAGCUCGUGCUCGAUGAUCUCUUGGGGAAGUGGCUCCAUGGCAUCCAUCGCACCAUACUCGGUAAGCAUCUCCCCAUCCGCGUCCGCCAUCUCUUUGGAAAAGGACACCAUGAGCUGGGCAUGGGCGGCCACGAUCUGGGCUUGGACGGGAUCCAUCGUCAGAAGGUAUGCGACGGAGGAACGGACGGCUGCUCGAAUGCUCUCGGCGAUUGCCAACUCUUCGGCUGUGGGUUGUCGACCAUUGUUGGAGAAGCUUCAUUUGAUUUGUGCGGUGACCGCCACGAGCUGGGCGUGGGCGGCCUCCAUUAGGGCUAAGGCCGCCGCUGCAGAACGGAUAGCUGAUGUGCCGCUCUCACUAGUUGCUAUCCCGAGGCAGACGUUGUUGCCGCUACCUGAGAAGCAACAACGGCCGUUUGAGCUGCCUUGGCUGCCCGGUCGCAGAUUGCCGCCGCGUUCAUGCACCUUUUUAGCACACGCAUGGUGGCUGCAGCCACGCUCUUGCCAAAGUGGGCUGCCGAAGUUAGUGUGGUUGACACGCCGGCUGUGGACUAUAGCCGACACACCUUCGCGGGUAAGCCAUAGGCGUACUAUACACCGACAGUGCUCUAGGAUAUUUUGUACUGUAUCUCACAUAGUUGGUGAUAAUAAACUGUGUGGGAUCUACUUGAUUUUUCAUCUUGAUCUAAAUUACAUAAUGGUGUCACAACGGCAAUGGACGGUGUUUGAAUUGCUAGACCUUUCAUCUGCAGUGAACAUGCAACUAUAUAUGUUGUCGGCGUCCUGGAUAUGGGGGUAUCCAGACUUGCCUGCCUGCGGCCCGCGACAUGGCUCAUCAGUGGCCCAGUUCGGCCCAUCUUCAUCAACCCAAGUUCAAGACCCUCAUGAGGGGCCAAGCCUCGUGGCGCGAAUGAUGCAAGGCCUUCUCAAGAGCGGCCUCACCAGGCAGGCUCGCAAGGAGGCGGAGAGAUCAAGGCAAGGAGUACCUCGCAAGGUGCACAUGACGCAAGCAUGACGAUCAAGACCAGGCGGGCGCCGGCCGGCGCAGUGUCCUUGUUUCCUCUUUGGUGCAAAGGGGGCAAGCGCAGGCGCGGAGUACCUAGGCAUCAAGCAAAGGUUUCCAUAUCGGUGCAACAAGACCAAGACCAGCGGGACAACAAGACGGAGGUCACCAUGGAGCCCUAGACGGCGUCAUCACCAGUGCUUUUGGCAGUCGAAGACCACCUUUAGUCAGGAUAGCUUGUACUAGCUGUCCCCUUCAAAUCCCGCCAUUGUGGAAUCCCUUCCCUCUUAAUAGUUGGGAAGAGGACUAAGGCCUCUAUAAAUAGUACUAGCCACCACCAUAGAAGAGGGAGAGAUUCAGUUCAUACACACGAGCACAAGAACACCUCUCCUCGCGAGGCUGUUCUCCCCCUUGUACUGUUCCUCAUCAGCCCAAGAGGCAAUCCACACACCACACACUGGAGUAGGGUGUUACACCACAAUGGUGGCCUGAACCAGUAUAAAUCUCGUGUCCCAUGUGUUGUUCAUCUUGUUAGCUUAGAAUCACGGCAAAGUACUGGGUGUGGAUUGGUAGGGAGAAGAUCUCCGCGCGCAUCCCAGCGUUCGAACCUUAAGGGUUUUGUCGGAACCCGAUAUCUGACAUUUGGCGUGCCAGGUAGGGGUGCGCCGGAAUAUUUUCUUCGCUCAUCUGCGUCCCAUCGCUUCGUCGCAUCCAUGGCGGACGCUCGCCGAGCUCGCAUCGAGCGCCGGGCUGCUCUCGCCGCCCACGUCGCCCAGAUGGCCCCCGUCGGUGGGGCUCCUCGUCGUUCUCCAUCGCCUGCCGCCCACGCCGCCACCGGCCCAACGGGGAACGAGCAGCAAGCAUCUUCGCCGCACCCUUCGGUGCGGCGGGUAGGCCGCACCGCCACUCUGUUGUUGACCCCAGCUGGCUCGUUGUCUCACGCUCGUCGCGCCCCCGCGAACACGCAUGCCGCGCUGCUCCUAGUGCGUGAGCUCCUGCACUACCACCCCAUCGACAACCUCUACGAGGAGUGGCUCGCUCGCAUCACCUAGCACGUCAGCGCUGCAUGGGGCUCCCCUGCGCAAUCCCUCUCACUGCCUCGCCCUCCGUCCUGCAUGGGUGAUGCGGCUCAGGGGGUGCCUCCGCCACCUCCUCCCCAAGAAGGUGCCCUGGCUCCAAGGCGCGCGGCCCUUGGGCGUGACCCACCGCGUCCGGCGCCCGCGCGGCAAGAAAGAAGCUGUUAGGAAAUCCCUUGUCCACAAGAAGGCGCUCGCGUGCUCCCCGCACCGGUGCGGCAAGACCGCAUCCCUGCACCAGCACUCCAGGACCCUGCGCUGCCACGGGCGGCAGCGCGCGAGGAUCAUCAAGAGCAGGCCCAACAUCUGCAGAAAGCUCCGGCAGGCACGGGAGGAUGCUGCGCCUUCACCACCGAGCUGCACAUCGUCGCCUGGUCCGGCAAGUUCAAGCCGGAUCUGCCUCCCCGCUACGACGGCACCGCCGACCCCGCGGAGUUCCUGCAGCUCUACGAGCUGGGCAUCGAGGCGGCAAGUGGAGACGAAAAGGUCAUGGCGAACUGGUUUCCCAUGGAGCUCAAGGAUGGUGCCCGCACCUGGCUCCUGAACCCUCCUCCUGGUUCGAUCUCCUCCUGGGAUGUGAUGCGCAGCCGUUUCAUCGCCAACUUCCAGGGCACUCACUACAAGAAAUAUGUCAACUUGUGACCUUGACUAUUGGUCACUGAAAGGUCAUGGUUUUUCAUUUGCGACCUUUUUAUGACCAAAAAGAGAAGGUCAAAAGCUGGCGGUCGUAAACUGACUAUAGCGACCUUUCUUCCGGAAUGGUCGAAGACGUUUAUGACCAAAAUAUGUCCACUGUGGCGUUUUGGUCACUAGCAACCUCCCCAGGCCACGUAGGCAUCCAGCGUGGCAAGCUGAUGUGGCACAAGAUUCAACCCGGUCCAAUUGGGUGUUUUACAUGGGCCGAGCCCAUUAAUUCAGCCUUUCUAUAUAUUUUUUCCUGUCAAUUUUUUGUCAGACUUCAUGGGCCAAGCCCAACAAUUCAGUCUUUUAUUUAUUUCUUUGUCGUGGCCUUUUAACAUUUGUUUGGGCCUAGGCCAUUAUAUUUUGUUGCUGGUCUCACCAAUCAGAUGGAUACCACUUGUCAUAAUCUCACACAUUAGACCCACGUGACAGAAAAUUCAAAAGUGAUUUCAUAAGUGGGCUCCAUGAGUCAGGUUCCAUUUCACAUGCUUUGAAACCACAUAAUGAAUAUUUCAAACAGAACAUAACAAAUGUAGUUCGUCAAAGAAGGACAAAUAAGUCAACUACACAAUCUGUACAUAGUCUAUUACAAUAUUAUUCAAAUCUUUCCAGUCUAUUACACAUAAGACAGAACAUAUAACUCUUUGCUACAUGGCUUAGAACUUCAAAUAUACUUCCUAGUUCACUUUGCUGGAGCUCUUGUAAACGAGAGGAAACACUAUUUUCGGGUAUGUUUGUAGAGGCUGAACCAAGGCAUCUAACAAUAAACCAAAAGAGUUAGAAACAAAAUAAAAACAAAUAUACAAAGCAGAUAGGGACUAAAUCCUGAAGUAUAUGUACAACAGAAUAUAACCACACAUCACCUCUAUCUAUUCUGUGUGUAUAAGUAAAGAAAAUUAUGUACCAAUAAUUAUAUUAUGGGACGGAGGGAGUAGUACAUAUGAUUACUUUCAGGUUAUAAUUUUUCUUCACCUAUAGUGUACUCCUAUAUUCAGGGAACCUUAGUCAGGUAUCACUAGUGAGCACAGAACAAAACAAAACGAAAUAAAGGUGUUGGCUAUAUAAGUGAAGACUACUCACGGCUUUUUAGAACGCACAAUAAACCAACAAGGACAUACAAGUUGCAAAUAAUCAAAACUUAGUAGCCACUGAACCUUGCAAAACACAUAUUAUGGCAUAGUUCAUCGAAAAGAAAGAUGAUCGCAAUAACAAUUAACAAGAUUGUGGUGGCCAGAAGACCACCACCACAGAUGCAUCUUAAUAAGAUUGUGAUCGCAAUAACAAUAACAAUUAACAAGAUUGUGAUGUACGCUAUCAGGGAAGAGGGGGAGGGAGAUGGAGGAGCUACCUGCCGCGGUCGCAAUGGAAGCAGAGGAGUAGACCCCUCCUGCCCCUCCCCCACGAGCAGGACAGGGCUGCCGGCUGGGCACGCCCCUACUCCUCCGCCUCCUUGAUCAGGAGACCCCCUUCCCCUACUGCUGCUUGGCAUGCCGCAUCACUAGUCACCUCCUCAUGCAAGAAGUACACAAUAAAUAGACAGACGGUCAGUGAGGUACAUUUUCACAGCAACAGAAGCUUAAAAUUAACAGAAAUACACACAUCAAAUGAAGUCACUAAGAUACUUAAGUGCACCACAUGGUGUAGAAUUAUGUGGUAUAUAAUUGCAACACAUGAACCAAAAGAGGAAUAACAUCAUCACCAAGAAUUUCUGAUGAUAAGCAUAGCUCCCUACAAAAAAGGAACUAAGGGCACAGUGACUAAAGCAUGCAGACCACAAUAUUCAAAGCAGAAGCAAGCGGGCAGUAUGAGCUACCUACUGGCAAAGUAUAAAACCUGAAUCAUAUAGUAUAAAUGAAUCAAGAAAACAAGAGAAACCCUGAACCUGAAAGCUCAGGCUGCUGCUUAUUUUGUUACUGUGUGGUAAGUACUACUAAGAUCAAAAUGCAUUCAAGGGAGCAUAAAAUCCAUCCCCAUUUGAAGCAUGUACAGUCUACAGAGAUACUAACAGGUGAACAGACAACCCCUAGAAAUUGGCUAACUACUUCUACUGUAUAAUAUGUAGUCUACAGAGAUACUAACUACUUCUACUGUAUAAUCACAGUCUGCAGUCACUAAAUAAAUCAAAGGUGUAUGAUGGAAAUACAGCAAAAUAGUCCAGUUAACUUGUCGAUUAAGAGACUAAUGAAACCAGUCACUCUAAGCAUACUAGAGCUUCAAACCAGUUCAUUUAGUUGAACUAAAGAGGGUCACAGAAUACCCUAAAGGGUGCCCAUUUGCACUCCUACACUCGAACACACACACACACACACACAUACACACUAUGGAUACUUUUGAGAUUCACAAGCACAUUCAGUAAAUUCAGUGAAAUUCAGUAAACAUGGAGUACAGAAGAGAGGUUCAGACUUCAAACCAGUUCAUUUAGUUGAACUAAAGAGGGUCACAGAAUACCCUAAAGGGUGCCCAUUUGUCCAUGUUUCAGACACAUGCUACAGCAACAUAAUGAACCUAAUACCGUCAGCACUCAGCAGGCAACACAAGUCAGUACAUCAAAUUACAGGGAGGAGACGUACGUGGUGCCCAAAUUUAGCUAUUCAAGGCUUCAAGAAAUAACAACAACAUGAAGUAGAGUCUGCAGUUUUAGACUUGCUGCAGUCCAGUCACAUGUGUGACACUAUCUCGACCCUAAAUAUUCCCUGAACAAGCAAGCGGGGUCUAAUACACACACGAAAAGUCUCACAACUCCAUAAACAAUGGCACAGAACUAGAUAUCGCAGAAGGUAUAUAGCUCAAUUUAGUUUGUUUAAAUCUUAUGCAUGCCACCGAAACAGACAACCGGAGAAGUUCGACCCAACAACUCACCAUGGCCUCAGCGGGGGUGAACUUGGCGCGGAUGACACUAGUGUUUCCGUGGGAGAGGGAGACCUUGCCCCAGAUGUAGUGGUAGUUGGUGUCGUUGCUUGGUCUUGGCCUUGUAGACGCAGGCCAUCCUCUUGCCGCCGUACCAGGCCACGUCCUCCCUGGUGUUCACUUGGAUCUGCCUCGAUCUGCGCGCCCAACCAAGACCAGGAAUUCAGAUACCCACGCGAGGGAGAAGGAGCAGAGUCGUGCCGGCGGAGGGAGCUUCUCACCUCUUGUAUCCGAGGAUGGUGCCACGAACAUAGAGCCUCACGCGCUGGCCGGUGCGUCCCUUCACCAUCUUGCUGCUGCAGCACCGCCGGGGAGGGGAGCUGAGGUUCACCAUCUUCCUGACAACCGCCGCCGCCUCCGUCCCCACAGAUGAGGCGAACAUGGCCCCGCCGUCUUGGAUGGCCUACACAAACCCGCACAAACGCAAUGAGAUUCGAGCAAGCUGAAGAAAUCUAGAAGGAGAAGGAGAAGAAAGGGGGGGGGGCAAUACCAGAUCUCACCUGCACGUGCUGCCUGCGAGGUGGCCAUAGCGUCGAUCUAGGGUUUCGGCAUGGAGAGAAGGAGAGGGUGGAGUCGAAGAAGAGUGUGGAGUCGAAGGAGGAGGCAAAUGGCGGGACGGACCGAGCGGGCGGGGACGGCGUCGCGCACGCGUGCUCCGAUGCAGCGGCGGCGGUGGAGCAGAGAGCCCCGCGGGCGAGGGAGGCAGAGGAGCAUCGGAGGAGGACCUCGGGCUUCACUUAUGUCGCGCGGGCAUGGAGUGGCGGUGAUGCGAGAGCCCCGCGGGACGCGAGGUUGNNNNNNNNNNNNNNNNNNNNNNNNNNNNNNNNNNNNNNNNNNNNNNNNNNNNNNNNNNNNNNNNNNNNNNNNNNNNNNNNNNNNNNNNNNNNNNNNNNNNNNNNNNNNNNNNNNNNNNNNNNNNNNNNNNNNNNNNNNNNNNNNNNNNNNNNNNNNNNNNNNNNNNNNNNNNNNNNNNNNNNNNNNNNNNNNNNNNNNNNNNNNNNNNNNNNNNNNNNNNNNNNNNNNNNNNNNNNNNNNNNNNNNNNNNNNNNNNNNNNNNNNNNNNNNNNNNNNNNNNNNNNNNNNNNNNNNNNNNNNNNNNNNNNNNNNNNNNNNNNNNNNNNNNNNNNNNNNNNNNNNNNNNNNNNNNNNNNNNNNNNNNNNNNNNNNNNNNNNNNNNNNNNNNNNNNNNNNNNNNNNNNNNNNNNNNNNNNNNCUCGAGCUUGCGUUGGUUUUCCCCGAAGAGGAAGGGAUGAUGCAUCACAGUAGCGUAAGUAUUUCCCUUAGUUUUUGAGAACCAAGGUAUCAAUCCAGUAGGAGGUCACGCGCAAGUCCCUCGUACCUGCACAACACGAUAGCAACUCGCAACCAACGCUUAGGGGUUGUCAAUCCCUUCACGGUCACUUACAAGAGUGAGAUCUGAUAGAGAUAAUAUUUUUGGUAUUUUUGAUAGAUAGAUGCAAAGUAAAAGUAAAGGCAAAGUAAAAACAAAGCAAGUAAAUAAAGUGAUAUAGAUUGAUAUGAUGAGAAUAGACCCGGGGGCCAUAGGUUUCACUAGUGGCUUCUCUCAAGAGCAUAAAUAUUCUACGGUGGGUGAACAAAUUACUGUUGAGCAAUUGACAGAAUUGAGCAUAGUUAUGAGUAUAUCUAGGCAAUGAUCAUGUAUAUAGGCAUCACGUCCAAAACAAGUAGAUUGAAACGAUUCUGCAUCUACUACUAUUACUCCACUCAUCGACCGCUAUCCAGCAUGCAUCUAGAGUAUUAAGUUAAUAACGGAGUAACGCCAUAAGCAAGAUGACAUGAUGUAGCGGAAUAAAUUCAUGCAAUAUGAUAAAUACCCCAUCUUGUUAUCCUCGAUGGCAACAAUACAAUACGUGCCUUGCAACUCUUUCUGUCACUGAGUAAGGACAUCGCAAGAUUGAACCCAAAGCCAUGCACUUCUCCCAUUGCAAGAACUACCAAUCUAGUUGGCCAAACCAAACGGAUAAUUCGAAGAGACUUGCAAAGAUAACUCAAUCAUACAUAAAAGAAUUCAGAGAAGAAUCAAAUAUUUUCCAUAGAUAAGUUGGAUCAAAAAUCCACAAUUCAUCGGUCUCAACAAACACACCGCAAAAAGAAGAUUACAUCGAAUAGAUCUCCAUGAGAGAGGGGGAGAACAUUGUAUUGAGAUCCAAAAACACAGAAGAAGCCAUCUAGCUACUAGCUAUGGACCCGAAUGUCUGAAGUAAAAUACUCACACUUCCUCGGAGGGGCUAUGGUGUUGAUGUAGAAGCCCUCCAUGGUGGAUGCCCCCUCCGGCGGAGCUCUGGAACAGGCCCCAAGAUGGGAUCUCGUGGAUACAUAAGGUUGCGGCGGUGGAUUAGGUUUUUGGCUCCUGUUAUGAUCAUACGGGGAUACGUAGGUAUAUAUAGGAGGAAGGAGUAUGUUUGUGGAGCUUCGAGGGGCCCACGAGGCAGGGGGCGCGCCCAGGGGGGCGCGCCCUCCACCCUCGUGACCGCCUCGUGGCUUUCUUGAUGGAGGGUCCAAGUCUCCUGGGUCUUAUCUGAUGAGAAAAUCACGUUCCCGAAGGUUUCAUUCCGUUUGGACUCUGUUUGAUUUCUGUUUCUUCGAAAUACUGAAAAAGGCAAAAAACAGCAAUUCUGGGCUGGGCCUCCGGUUAAUAGGUUAGUCCCAAAAAUAAUAUAAAAGUGGAAAAUAAAGCCCAAUAUAGUCCAAAACAGUAGAUAAAGUAGCAUGGAGCAAUCAAAAAUUAUAGAUAUGUUGGAGACGUAUCAAGCAUCCCCAAGCUUAAUUCCUGCUCGUCCUCGAGAAGGUAAAUGAUAAAAAGGAAUUUUUGAUGCGGAGUGAUACUUUGGCAUAAUUUCAAUGUAAAUCUUCUUAAUCAUGUUAUAAAUAUUCAGAUCCGAAAGAUUCAAGGCAAAAGUUCAUAUUGACAAAGAAAUAAUAAUACUUCAAGCAUACUAAUCAAAGCAAUCAUGUCUUCUCAAAAUAACAUGGCAAAAGAAAGUUCAUCCCUACAAAAUCAUAUAGUUAGGCUAUGCUUCAUUUUCGUCACACAAAGAUGUUCCCAACUUCUAUACCCCCGAUGACAAGCCAAGCAAUUGUUUCAUACUUAAAUAAUGUCAAACUUUUUCAACCUUCACGCAAUACAUGAGCGUGAGGCAUGGAUAUAGCACUAUGGGUGGAAUAGAAUAUGAUGAUGGGGAUUGUGUGGAGAAGACAAAAAAGGAGAAAGUCUCAUGUUAAUGAGGCUAAUCAACGGGCUAUGGAGAUGCCCAUCAAUUGAUGUCAACAUGAGGAGUAGGGAUUGCCAUGCAACGGAUGCACUAGAGCUAUGAAUGCUCAACAAAAAGAAAACUAGUGGGUGUGCAUCCAGCUUGCUUGCUCAUGAAGACCUAGGGAAUUUUGAGGAAGCCCAUCGUAGGAAUAUACAAGCCAAGUUCUAUAAUGAAAAAUUCCCACUAGUAUGAAAAGACAACUUAUGAGACUCACUACAUGAAGAACAAGGUGCUACUUUGAAGCACAAUAUAUGAGACUCACUACAUGAAGAACAAGGUGCUACUUUGAAGCACAAGUGUGGAAAAAGAGAUAGUAGCAUUGCCCCCUUUUAUUUAAUUUUUUUGGGCCUUUCCCUUUUUUUAUUUUGGCCUUUCUCUUUUUUUUAUUUGGGCAAUGCUCUAAUAAUGAUGAUCAUCACACUUUCAUUACAACAUAAGAAUUACAACUCGAAACUAAAACAAGAUAUGACUCUAUAUGAAUGCCUCCGACGGUGUACCGGGAUGGUACAAUGAAUCAAGAGUGACAUGUAUGGAAAAUAAUGCAUGGUGGCUUUGCCACAAAUACGAUGUCAACUACAAGAUCAUGCAAUGGCAAUAUGACAAAAGUAAUGUAUGUCAUGAUGAUGAUGGUGGAAGUUGCAUGUCAAUAUAUCUCGGAAUGGCUAUGGAAAUGCCAUGAUAGGUAGGUAUGGUGGCUGUUUUGAGGAAGAUAUAAGAAGGUUUAUGUGUGAUAGAGCGUAUCGUAUCACGGGGUUUGGAUGCACCGGCGAAGUUUGCACCAACUCUCAAGGUGAGAAAGGGCAAUGCACGGUACCAAAGAGGCUAGCAAAGGUGGAAAGGUGAGAGUGCAUAUAAUCCAUGGACUCAACAUUAGUCAAAAGAACUCAUAUACUUAUUGCAAAAAUUUAGAAGUCAUCAAAAAUCAAGUACUACGCGCAUGCUCCUAGGGGGAUAGAUUGGUAGGAAAAGACCAUCGCUCGUCCCCGACCGCCACUCAUAAGGAUGCACAAGCCAGGUACACUUCAUGUUUCAAAUUUGUUACAUAACUUUAACCAUACGUGCAUGCUACGGGAUUUGCUAACUUCAACACAAGCAUUCUUUGAAUUCAUAAUUACCCAACGAGCACGACUUUGAUAUUAUCACCUCCAUAUCUCAAAACAAUUAUCAAGCAUCAAACUUAUCUUAGUAUUCAACGCACUCAAAAGAAAGUUUCACAUAUCUUGAAUACCAAGUAUAUUAACAUUAAGCAAAUUACCAUGCUAUUAACGACUCUCAAAAUAAUCUAAGUGAAGCAUGAGAGAUCAAGUUUCUUUAAAACAAAUCCACCACCGUGCUCUAAAAUAUCUAAGUGAAGCACUAGAGCAAAAAUUAACACGCUCAAAAAGAUAUAAGUGAAGCACUAUGAGCACACUAUCAAGCUCAAUGAUAUAAGUGAAGAGCAUAGAGUAUUCUAACAAAUUUCAAUUCAUGUAUGGCUCUCUCAAAAGGUGUGUACAGCAAAUAUGAUUGUGGUAGACUAACAAGCAAAGACACAAAUAAUACAAGACGCUCCAAGCAAAACACAUAUCAUGUUGGUGUAUAAAAAUAUAGCUCCAAGUAAAUUACCGAUGGAAGUGGACGAAAGAGGGGAUGCCUUCUGGGGCAUCCCCAAGCUUUGACUUUUUGGUGUCCUUGGAUCAUCUUGGGGGUUCCAUGGGCAUCCCCAAGCUUAGGCUCUUGCCACUCCUUGUUCCAUAAUCCAUCAAAAGAAUUCACCCAAAACUUGAAAACUUCACAACACAAAACUCAACAGAAAUCUCGUGAGCUCCGUUAGAGAAAGAAAACAAAAGACUACUUCAAGGUACUGUGAUGAACUCAUUAUUUAUUUAUAUUGGUGUUAAACGUAAUGUAUUCCAACUUCUCUAUGGUUUAUAAACUAAUUUACUAGCCAUAGAUUCAUCAAAAUAAGCAAACAACACACGAAAAACAGAAUCUGUCAAAAACAGAACUGUCUGUAGUAAUCUGUAACUAACGCAAACUUCUGGAACUCUAAAAAUUCUAGAAAAAUAGGAAGUCCUGUAAAAUUUAUUUAUUGAUCAGCAUCAAAAAAGAAUCAACGCAAAAUCACUCUCCAGUUAAAAAUGGCAGCUAAUCUCGUGAGCGCUAAAGUUUCUGUUUUUCAGCAGAAUCAAAUCAACUAUCAUCGUAGGUUAUCCUAUAGGUCCUACUUGGCACAAACACUAGUUAAAACAUAAAACCACAUCCAAACAGAAGGUAGAUGGAUUAUUUAUUCCUAAACAGAAGCAAAAACAAAAAACACAAAAUAAAAUUGGCUUGCCUCCCAACAAGCGCUAUCGUUUAACGCCCCUAGCUAGGCAUAAAAGCAAGGAUAUAUUUAGGUAUUGCCAUCUUUGGUAGGCAAUUAUUCAAUGAGGCAUCUACCUCCCUUAGAAUUUUCUUUCUUUAUAGAAAUUAUCAAACCUUUAGGCAUAAGAUCGAAAAAUUCAUUCGUAGCAAAUGGUUCCUUAAUGAUAGUAAAAAGAUCGGGAUGAAUACUUAUAGAUUUAAGAUCCGCAUUUUCCUUACUAGAUGAUUCACCCUUAUUUUUAGGAACAUACAUAAGCUUGGCAAUUUUAGUAGAAGGACUAGGAGUAUUCUUUACGGAUGAAAAAGCGGUUCCCAAAUUGGUAAUGAUACCCUCAAGUUUAUUGAUACGAGUAGAGUCUAGAUUUAUUUUUUCAUUAACCAUGGGUUCCUUCUCCUUAAUAUUUUUCAAAGUCAUUCCUACCUUAGAUCCAUAUUGAGUAAUUUGAUUAUGAAUCUUUUUAUCUAGAUUUUCAAUGGAUUCAAUGGUAGCAACUUUGUUUUCAAUAAUUUCAAGCCUUUGCAUAACAUGCUCCAAAGUUAACAUAGUUCCAUUAACCAAAAGAGGAGGUGAGCCAAAUAAAUCUAUUAAAGCAUUAUAGGAAUCAAAAGUAUGGCUACCCAAGAAAUUCCCUCCGGUAAUGGUAUCAAGGAUAUAUCUAUACCAAGGAUUAGCACCUACAUAAAAUCGCGAAGAAGAACUGAAGUAGAUUGCUUCCUGGUAGAUCUAUUUUGAGCAUUGCCAAUUCUAUACCAAGCAUCUUUUAGAUUUUCUCCCUCCCUUUGUUUAACAUUUAGCACUUCAUUCUCGGGAGAUAAUGGAGAAGAUAUAAGAUUAGUCAUGAUGACAAGCAAGCAAAUUAACACACGAGCAAGCAAAAGGACGGGGAAAAGGCAACGGAAAGAGAGGAGGAGAUUGGGAAAGAGAGGGCAAAUAAAAUGGCAAGGGUGAAGUGGGGGAGAGGAAAACGAGAGGCAAAUGGCAAAUAAUGUAAUGCGAGAGAUAGGGAUUGUGAUGGGUACUUGGUAUGUUAACUUUUGCGUAAGCCUCCCCGGCAACGGCGCUAGAAAUCCUUCUUGCUACGUCUCGAGCUUGCGUUGGUUUUCCCCGAAGAUGAAGGGAUGAUGCAACACAGUAGCGUAAGUAUUUCCCUCAGUUUUCGAGAACCAAGGUAUCAAUCCAGUAGGAGGUCACGCGCAAGUCCCUCGUACCUGCACAACACGAUAGCAACUCACAACCAACGCUUAGGGGUUGUCAAUCCCUUCACGGUCACUUACGAGAGUGAAAUCUGAUAGAGAUAAUAUUUUUGGUAUUUUUGAUAGAUAGAUGCAAAGUAAAAAGUAAAAGCAAAAUAAAAACAAAGCAAGUAAAUAAAGUGAUAUAGAUUGAUAUGAUGAGAAUAGACCCGGGGGCCAUAGGUUUCACUAGUGGCUUCUCUCAAGAGCAUAAAUAUUCUACGGUGGGUGAACAAAUUACUGUUGAGCAAUUGACAGAAUUGAGCAUAGUUAUGAGUAUAUCUAGGCAAUGAUCAUGUAUAUAGGCAUCACAUCCAAAACAAGUAGAUCGAAACGAUUGUGCAUAUACUACUAUUACUCCACUCAUCGACCGCUAUCCAGCAUGCAUCUAGAGUAUUAAGUUAAAAACAGAGUAACGCCGUAAGCAAGAUGACAUGAUGUAGCGGAAUAAAUUCAUGCAAUAUGAUAAAUACCCCAUCCUGUUAUCCUCGAUGGCAACAAUACAAUACGUGCUGUGCAACUCUUUCUGUCACUGAGUAAGGACACCGCAAGAUUAAACCCAAAGCCAUGCACUUCUCCCAUUGCAAGAACUACCAAUCUAGUUGGCCAAACCAAACGGAUAAUUCGAAGAGACUUGCAAAGAUAACUCAAUCAUACAUAAAAGAAUUCGGAGAAGAAUCAAAUAUUUUCCAUAGAUAAGUUGGAUCAUAAACCCACAAUUCAUCGGUCUCAACAAACACACCGCAAAAAGAAGAUUGCAUCGAAUAGAUCUCCACGAGAGAGGGGGAGAACAUUGUAUUGAGAUCCAAAAAGAGAGAAGAAGUCGUAUAGCUACUAGCUAUGGACCCGAAGGUCUGAAGUAAACUACUCACACUUCAUCGGAGGGGAUAUGGUGUUGAUGUAGAAGCCCUCCGUGGUGGAUGCCCCCUCCGGCGGAGCUCCGGAACAGGCCCCAAGAUGGGAUCUCGUGGAUACAGAAGGUUGCAUCGGUGGAAUUAGGUUUUUGGCUCCUGUUCUGAUUAUUCGGGGACACGUAGGUAUAUAUAGGAGGAAGGAGUACGUCGGUGGAGCUUCAAGGGGCCCACGAGGCAGGGGGGCACGCCCAGGGGGGCGCGCCCUCCACCCUCAGGACCGCCUCGUGGCUUUCUUGACGGAGGGUCCAAGUCUCCUGGGUCUUAUCUAAUGAGAAAAUCACGUUCCCGAAGGUUUCAUUCCGUUUGGACUCCGUUUGAUAUUCUGUUUCUUUGAAAUACUGAAAAAUGCAAAAACAGCAAUUCUGGGCUGGGCCUCCGGUUAAUAGGUUAGUCCCAAAAAUAAUAUAAAAGUGGAAAAUAAAGCCUAAUAUAGUCCAAAAUAGUAGAUAAAGUAGCAUGGAGCAAUCAAAAAUUAUAGAUACAUUGGAGACGUAUCAGGAGGCGAGGGGUGAGGGCUGCCGUUGGAUCCGGGAGGAUCCAAUGGUGUUUCGUGCAUGACCCGCAUGUCUGGUCCACAGACCAAUCAGAACGCAAUACAACAUUAUGACCAACUAAAUUGGUCGUGAUAGAUUUAAAAAUAAGAUGUUAAAAUCUUGUAAGCUAUUUUAUGAUGACAUAAAUUCAAAAAAAUAAAAGACCUUCUCAUUGUGUCACCAAUUGUGAACUACCUUUCAGGAAAAUAACAAACAUGGAAUGGCAAACAAUGUUGCCUAAGAAAGUUUUCAUUUUUUUUGCACGAAAAAAUCAUUUUUCAUUUUCCGAGUGGCCAAAAUGGAUUUUUUUGUGAAGGACCUACCAAAUAAUUGUUGCAAAAUUGGACCAAAUCAAUUUCCUAAAAUACUAGGACAUAUUUAAUGCACAAUUGACAAAAUGGUUGGGUGUAAAAAGUUUUGAUCCACCUCUCGUGAAAAAGACAAAUUUCCGCCGAUUCAGUUGGAAGCGGGUUAAAUUUGAACUGCAGAUGCCUCAUAGUUUGCUAUUUAUUAUUUCCAAAAAUCAUUUCUAGGUACAUAAGUAUCUAUUUAAUCAGAGAAACACCAAAAAAAUUACAAGAUUCAACAACUAGCUAGGAACGGUCAUUCCCGCCGUUUUGACCGCAUUUUGAAACGGGCAUAAAAAAUUCAAAAAAAACCAAAAAAUUGGGAAACCUUCGCAUUGUGUCAUCAUAUGUGGCCAAGUUCCCAGGAAAAAUAACAAACUUCUAAUACGGCAAUUAUUUUAAAAAAGUGUUCUCAGAAAUGAGCUAUCAUCUAUGAAGAUUCAUGGCUUUCAAGCCAAAUGAUCAAUCUUAUGGCCACAUUCGUGGCAUAGUUUGUUAAAAUGAUCUCAUAUUGUUUACAAGGGUGCAUAUUGGAAUGGCAAACAAUGUUGCCUAAGGAAGUUUUCAUUUUCUUUGGACGAAAAAACCAUUUUCCAUUUUUCGAUUGCCCCAAAUGAGGUUUUUUUGUGAAGGACCUACCAAACAAUUGUUGCAAAAUUGGACCUAAUCAAUUUUAUAAAAUACUAGGACAUAUUUAAUGCACAAUUGACAAAAUGGUUGGGUGUCAUAAGUUUUGAUCCACCUCUGGUGAAAAAGACAAAUUUCCGCCGAUUCAGUAGGAAGCGGGUCAAAUUUGAACUGUAGCUACCUCGUAGUUUGCUCUUUAUUUUUUCCAAAAAUCAUUUCUAGGUACAUAAGUAUCUAUUUAAUCAUAGAAAUACCAAAAAAGUUCCAAGAUUCAACCACUAGCUAGGAACAGUCAUUCCCGCCGUUUUGACCGCAUUUUGAAAUGGGCAUAAAAAAUUCAAAAAAAUCAAAUAAUUGGGAAACCUUCGCAUUGUGUCAUUAUAUGUGGCCAUGUUCCCAGGAAAAAUAACAAACUUGCAAUACGGCAAUUAUUUUAAAAAAGUGUUCUCAGAAACGAGCUAUCACGUGUGAAGAUUCAUGGCUAUCAAGCCAAAUGAUCAAUAUUUUGGCCACAUUCUUGGCAUAGUUUGUUGAAAUGAUCUCAUAUUGUGCAAAAGGGUGCAUCUUGGAAUGGCAAACAAUGUUUCCUAAGGAAGUUUUCAUUUUCUGUGCACGGAAAAACCAUUUUCCAUUUUUCGAUUGCCCCAAAUGAGGUUUUUUUGUGAAGGACCUACCAAAUAAUUGUUGCAAAAUUGGACCAAAUCAUUUUUCUAAAAUACUAGGCCAUAUUUAAUGCACAAUUGACCAAAUGGUUGGGUGUAAAAAGUUUUGAUCCACCUCUUGUGAAAAAGACAAAUUUCCGUCUAUUCAGUUGGAAGCGGGUCAAAUUUGAACUGUAGAUGCCUUGUAGUUUGCUCUUUUUUUUUCCAAAAAUCAUUUCUAGGAACAUAAGUAUCUAUUUAAUCAUAGGAACACCAAAAAAAUUCCAAGAUUCAACCACUAGCUAGGAACGGUCAAGCCAGCCGUUUUGACCGCAUUGUGAAACGGGCAUAAAAAAUUCAAAAAAAAAUCAAAAAAUUGGAAAACCUUCGCAUUAUGUCAUUAUAUGUGACCAAGUUUCUAGGAAAAAUAAUAAACUUGUAAUACGGUUAUUAUUUUAAAAAAGUGUUCUAAGAAAUGAGCUAUCAUGCGUGAAGAUUCAUUUUCAAGCCAAAUGAUCAAUCUUAUGGCCACAUUCAUGUCAUAUUUUGUUCAAAUGAUCUCAUAUUGUGCACAAGUACAUCUUGGAAUUCCAAACAAUGUUGCCUAAGGAAGUUUUCAUUUUCUUUGCACGGAAAAUUCAUUUUUCAUUUUCUGAGUGCCCAAAAGGAGGUUUUUUUUUGUGAAGGACCUACCAAAUAAUUGUUGCAAAAAUGGACCUAAUCAAUUUUAUAAAAUACUAGGCCAUAUAUAAUGCACAAUUGACAAAAUGGUUGGGUGAAAUAAGUUUUGAUCCACCUCCGGUGAAAAGACAAAUUGCCGUCGAUUCAGUUGGAAACGGGUCAAAUUUGAACUACAAGUACCUCAUAGUUUGCUCUUUAUUUUUUCCAAAAAUAAUUUCUAGGUAAAUAAGUAUUUAUUUAAUCAAAAAUACAUGGUUUAAUGGCGAUACAUCGAGGUUUGGACGGUGGCUGAGGGCGACAACUCUAGAGCGCGUAAGCUCGCAUGCCCGCCGCAUGGUCACCGCGUGACCGUGGCGUUGCCAUGUGUUCUGGGCGGCCUAGGCAUCUCUAGUGGGUUGGGCACUCCCCAGGUAGGUGCUAGGAAGAAAAUCACAACAUAAGAUUCUCACGAGGAGACCGAUCGAUGCUCAAACAUGAAUAAGCAGCCAAGUGUUUGAUUUGCGGUACGGGAAAUGCACAUGGCUAAUGGGCGUGGGUUUUGGCUGAGGAUGAUCAGUUACUAAGAAGACUGUCUUCACAAAUUUUCACCUCAAAAGGAGGAGCCUAGGUGGUACUUGCUUUACAAAGUACCACACUGGACAUAAAUACGAAUGUUGAAGCUGGGCUCAAAAUAAUGAAUGUAUUGAGCUGGCACUUGGUGGAGGAUGGUUAUUUGGGCAUAGGAAAGCACUGUAGAAAAUGGAUACCAUUUCGACAUGCCAAAGUGGUACUUCCUUCACAAAGUGCUGCUCUGAACAGAAUAGGAAAAUGAAUAUUUUCGAAUUAUUUUUGAACUAGGCAAGGAAUGUUUUUGACAUAUUUGAUGAAGAUAUGAUCCAAAACAUUUAUGAGAAUUUUUUGGGAAUUUUUGGAAUAACAGAAAUAUAGGUUGCUUCACAACCUAGAGCAAAAACUACCACAUGGACAUGACACAUAGGCAAAACUGAUGAGAUGGCGCCUAGUCAUCACAACCCACCACAAUCUACAAGGCUAUGACCAUCUAUAUUGGUCAUUAACAACUAGAAAUAAGGCAGCGGACUAGCGCUGUUUGCUUCGUGACCAUUUCGUGUAAGGAAAUUACGACCUUUCUGACCAAAAUGGUCACAAUGGUUUAGGGUUUGGAGCCCCCCGAACAGCUUUUGACCAAUUGGUCUGAAAUGGUCAUAGAUCUAUGACCAAUUCUUCCAGGGUCACUGACAAAAGGUCACUAGUUGACAUAUUUCUUGUAGUGACUCGUGACUGCCCUCCGGCCAUGGGCGACAUGCGCCGCAUCAAGCAGCAAGCUGGAGAGACUCUGCAGAAGUACAUCCAACGCUUCAACAAGGCUUGCCUCAAGAUUCCCAGGGUCAUAGAUGAGGCCAUCAUCUCAGUGUUCUCUGAUGGCGUCUGUGACGUCAAGAUGAAGGAGGAGCUCGCCAUUCACGAGGACCUGUGCAUGUCUCUGGAGCUAUUCAAGUUGGCGACCAUGUGCGCAAGAGCUGAGGAGGGACGCCUCUCCCUCCUCGAGCUCCCGGCUGCUGACCCAGAGGAAAAGAACGCCAAGGCCAAGGACGUGAAGCGUAAAGGAGCAGCCAUGCUUGCGGCAGAGCCAGACAUGAAGCGCGGCAGGGACCAGCCAGAGUCAUCCAUUCUGCGCCUACCACAACAUCUAUACCCACAACACCAACAAAUGCCAGGAGCUCAGGGCUGUUCGUGAAGGGCAAGUCGGUCGGCGCCCCGAGCUCAACGAUUGGGGAUACGGUCACGGAGGAGGAAGAGGCGGAGGACGAUGGGACGACCGAGGCCCUCGCUAGGAGUGGCGAGACCGACCUCGUGAGGAUCACUGGCAGGACCAACCUCGCGAGAGAGCUUGGAGGGAUCAGCGUCGCGAGGAACGCUCGCAGGGCAACGCAAGCCUUCCUCCACUGCCACCACCAAGGAAGAAUGAUGACCACCACCAGGACGAGGGGGCUUGGGGCUUCCAGGAGCCGCAAGCCGUCGCUUGCAUCCUGGGUGGUGCCCAGGCCCCAGCCUCUCAGUGCAUCUUCAUGGAGUGUGCUCGCGAGGUUAAUGCAGUCCUCCCCAAGCUCGAGGCCACACACCCUCUUAGAUGGUGCAUGUGCGCCAUCACUUUCAGCUCGGCAGACCAACUCAAGUGUGCGGCCACAGCUGGUGUCCUCCCAAUGCUCUGCUCCCUAGUCAUCAGCAAUGUGCAAGUUACCAGGACUCUCAUCGACGACGGCGGAGGCCUCAACGUCCUGUCCGUCGAGAUGUUCGACAACCUUCAAGUGCCAUAUGAUCAGCUCCAGCCUACCAAGCCCUUCUCCGGAGUUACUGACGGCUCCACCACUCCGAUAGGGCAGGUCCGCCUCCCCGUCACUUUUGGAUAGCGCAACAACUACCGUACCGAGCUCAUCGACUUCGACGUCGCCCAUAUCCGCCUGCCAUACAAUGCCAUCCUUGGGUAACCGGCCCUGGCCAAGUUCAUGGCAGUGACCCACCAUGGCUACAAUGUCCUCAAGAUGCUAGGGAGCGGCGGAGUCAUCACAGUCCCCUGUGAGGAAAAGGAUGCGGUGUGCUCGCUCGAGCGCACCUUUCAUGCUGAAUCAGUUGAAGACCGAGACUACAAGAGCAAGAACCCUCUUAAGGUAGCUCCCAAGAAGAAGAAAACAUCGCCUGGCUCAAGGCCUCUGGAGGUUUUCAUUUCUGGAGGAGCCGCAUCAAGAUCUGCACCCGUGCAAGGGGCACCUUCCUCCGUCGCAUAGGAAGGCGCGCCCGGCGCCCUCCUCGAGCAGGGCUCGGGGGCUCUCUUCUGGAGGGCCUUAGACUUUGCCCAGAUCACGAGGGAGGCGCUCGGGCACCACUUGGUGGCGUGCUUCGCAGCAUGUUUCCCUCAGGAAGGCAUGAGGCAAGGAAGACCCAACCCUUAGGAGUUCAUCACCAAGAUCACUCAGGAGCUUCAGGAAUCAAGAGUUAUAUGUGGCGAUCGCCGCCUGCCUGGCGUAGCUCCCCAAGCAUCUGCAUCGAUGUACCAGGGCUCAACCAAGCUGCAUCUCAGGAGCGUCUCUGGCCUUCACACGUGGGACGUUGCGAGGGCCCGCCGCACAGCUACGUUCGCAUGCCUUUUGGCGUUCCGAACGCGGUUGCUUCUCACCAGCGCCAUCCGCGGAGCAUUCUGGCGGCUUAGGAGGCCAGGCAUCACAAGGUUCUGGCGGAGAUGGAGGUGGUCCUCAGGGAACCACCUGGGCCCCCAGAGCCUCCCGAGGCUCAGGGCUUUGGUGGCUCAUGAGGGUCGGCCUCUUCACCGUGCAUCUUUAGCUACUCCAACACCCCUUCAUCCGCAAUGGAAUCAGGUGACAUCUUCCAAGUUCAUUUCAGCUGGGAGCGCCCCCAGGGCUGCAUCAUUCCCAGAUCGCAUGGGUCUGUCCCUGCGACAUGUAUCCCUUUUUGCUUAUGUCUUUAGCUUACCUCGCUAGGGGGCGCCCCUCAGGCUGCAUUAUCCCCUAAGCCGCUCGGGCCUGACCCGGUGGCAUGUACCCCUCCUGCAUUACCUAAGCUGAUCUGCCUUUCAUGCUUAACCUGUCUGUGAUUAUCAUUUCCUCGGUUGACACCUACCACUGGAACUGCUCACGCUGGCACGACGCUUGCGCAUGGGUCCGUCCCUGCAAUGCUGGCAAAUCUGAGUGGUCGAGCUCUGGCCCGCGGCAGCCCCACAAGCGUCACCUCACCAGGCCCUCAGUGCCCUCACCAUCUCAGAGCAACCAAUGGCCGGUUGACAAUCAUAAUGGCGAUGUGUGCGCCUCUCAUGUUGGUUUACAGGAACCCCCGGAGUCCAGCAGUGGGUGGCAUCACGAGUCCUCUCUCUCUUUCCCGAGCCAUCCGCUUGCAUGUUAAAAGGGGGCUCCUGAGCAUCGCGACUCAGGAGAUCUUACUGGCUCCCCAGCCCUCACCCCCUGGCCUUGACCAUGGCAUCACGAUCUGGCAUACCAGCGGCGGCUAAGCCUGCUCGAGGGUCGGGAACUGAGGACGUAGAGCACUAAGGAGAACGUGGGAAGGAGAGGAGAAGCUCGCCGAGGCCUAACCUAGCUGCAUCCCAGCUGCCGACAUCCGAGUCCGGCGCGACGCGAUGGAACAACUCCAUGCCUCCGAGAUAAGUUUCACGCCUAUGGAAGCUGAUUGAUGCGACACAAAACCCACGCCUAAAUGCGGUUCUGUGACAGCAAUGUUGCCUUCCUUUCUCGUCUCUCGGUGGCUGCUUGCACGCUAAAGGGGACCUCCUAAGCAUCGCGCCUCAGGGGCUCUUACUGGAUCUCGGGCCGCUCACCUCCUGGCCUUGACCACAGCAUCAAGACCUGGCAUACCAGCGACGGCUGAAGCCUGCCUGGGGACCGGGACCUAUCAGCGUAGAGCACCAAAUCGUCGCGAGAUCAGAAAGGGGGAACCAAGCCGGGACAGGACAGGCAUUCGCACCAUUUCAUAAUAAGGAUAAUAUCAACAAAAGAUAUCGCGGACCCUUUACACGCCCCCGCGGGGUGCUUUUCUGAUUCCUUGCAGGGAACAAAGGACACGAAUCCUAAUUAGCCCUAACUACACACGCCUCCAUGGCUGACGCCAUCAUCAAUAGUGGGCCAUGGGAGGCCGGCGCCAGCCCCAUCCCGAUCAGCUGCGCCGAUGCCCAGACGCAUCCGCCUUACUCCGGGCGCGACAUGAGCUCGGGGGCACGUAGCUGUCGUCGCUCGUCUCUGGAGUCACAAGAAGCUCGGGAGAGUUGCUGGACACCCAAGAAUCGCCGCUGCUGCCUGAGGAGCCGUCCGGGGAGCGAGUGGUAGUCCCAGCCCUUGCCACCUCGGUGCCUUGACUUCUUCCUCUGGGGCAGCACUCCAGCCGGCGGCCUUCCACGUCGAAGAUCUUGAAGAGCAUCAAGGAGGCGCCACCGUAUUCAAAAUGAAUUACGAGGGCACCCCCUAUUUGGCAGAUCCGGGCAACCUUGCCCCAGCCUCGGGUCAUGAAGACCUUGCCCAGAGCAACGACUUCAGCCUCCGCUCCAGUCGCCGGGGCGUUGCAGUUAGCAUGCUGCAGCCAAAGCUCGAGAGGCCCCCUCGGUGGCAUCUCGAAGGAGAAGAAUGGAGGGAAACAGAUCCAGGAGCUUGGAGGCAUCACAGCGUGGAGCAUGAGCUCAUGAGAGGAGUCCGCGGUGUGGACUCCAGGAGCGACGGCGCGCGCCGCCGAGGCUCAUCGGGCCCGCCUACGGUGCGGGCGGCGACGCUCACCAUCCCUUUCUUCAGGGCCCUCUGCCAGGUGCAGGGGCCGCGGGAACCCAGGGGGCGGCCACUCAUACCAAGGCCUCGUCAUCUCCGACCACGCGACCUCAUCGCCGUGGCGCGGGGCCGGCCUUUUCUUCGGCAGGAGUGUGUCGGGCCCCUCCCGGAGGCCUUUCCUUUCUCUGCAGCUGAGAACUGCCGGAUCGGCGCCAUUGGCGCCAAGAGUGCAGGAGGAGCGCGAGAGAAGAAGCAGGUGAAGCAAUGAGGGAUGGACAACGGGGGCUCAUGCCCCUCCAUAAUUAUAGCCCGGAGGAGGCCACUCGUCGGCCUCCACGAUCAAAGGUAAUGAUGACUCUGUUUGCAUGCAACAGGCUCUCGUUAAAUCAGGCAGUUGCCGAGGCAGUGUGGGGAAGAGGGGACGCCCACGUCCAAUCAAUUCGCCACGCGUCGCUCAAGGCCUCAGGCUGUUGGGGCCCGCGGUGCUCCACACUUGCCCCUUGGCUUCGCCGCUAAGCCAAGUCCGAGCGCGCCUUGGGCCCGGGGGCUACUGUCGGCAUCUCUUGAUAUGGGGGUAUCCAGACUUGCCUGCCUGCGGCCUGCGAUGUGGCUCAUUAGUAGCCCAGUUCGGCCCGUCUUCAGGUUCAAGACCCUCACGAAGGGCCAAGCCUCGCGGGGCAAACGACGCAAGGCCUUCUCAGGAACGGCCUCACCAGGCAGGCUUGCGAGGAGGCGGAGAUAUCAAGGCAAGGAGUACCUCGCGAGGUGCACCUGACGCAAGCCAUGAUGAUCGAGACCAGGCGGGUGCCAGGUGGGCGCCGGCCGGUGCAGUGUCCUUGUUUCCUCUUUGGUGCAAAGGGGGCAAGCGCAGGCGCGGAGUACCAAGGAAUCAAGCAAAGGUUUCCAUAUCGGUGCAACAAGACCAAGACCAGCGGGACGGCAAGACGGAGGUCACCAUGGAGCCCAAGAUGGCGUCAUCGCUAGUGCUUUUGGCAGUCGAAGACCACCUUUAGUCAGGAUAGCUUGUACUAGCUGUCCCCCUUCAAAUCUGCCAUUGUGGAAUCCCUUCCCGCUCAAUAUUUGGGAAGAGGACCAAGGCCUCUAUAAAUAGGACUAGCCACCACAAUAGAAGAGGGAGAGAUUCAGUUCAUACACACCAGCACAAGAACACCUCUCCUCGCGAGGCUGUUCUUCCCCUUGUACUGGUCCUCAUCAGCCCAAGAGGCAAUCCACACACCACACACUGGAGUAUGGUAUUACACCACAAUGGUGGCCUGAACCAGUAUAAAUCUCGUGUCCCUUGUGUUGUUCAUCUUGUUAGCUUAGAAUCACGGUGAAGUAGUGGGCGUGGAUCAAUAGGGAGAAGAUCUCCGCGCGCACCCCAGAGUUUGAACCUUAAGGGUUUUGCUGGAACCCGAUAUCCGACAUAUGUGUCAUACAAAAAUGGAAUUAUUCAGGGUUCGUUUGGACAUUUUGUACAUUAAAUUGGUUUUCUAGCCAUUUCAGGUGCACAAUUCAAAAUUAAAGUACAUGCACAUGCUCUGGUGCACCAACAUGUGUUUUAAAAUCAUAUAUGUGUCCACGGGUUUAUGCUUAUGUCCCAUGCAAGAAAUGGCGAUGAAUUUCUAACACCAUGGCACCAUGGCUCUCCGGCAAAUGUUGAGGUGCUUGCUUUUGUAAUUCUAGUAAAUCCGAAACCCGUCUGAAAUUCAUGAACCUUAGCAUGCUAUCAUGGAAUGGCAUUGAUACGUCUCCAACGUUUCUAUAAUUUUUGAUUGUUCCAUGCUAUUAUAUUAUCUGUUUUGGAUGUUUAAUGGGCUUUAUUAUGCACUUUUAUAUUAUUUUUGGGACUAACCUAUUAACCGCAGGCCCAGUGCAAAUUGCUGUUUUUUGCCUAUUUCAGUGUUUCGCAGAAAAGGAACAUCAAACGGAGUCCAAACAGAAUGAAACCUUCGGGAGAAUCGUUUUUGGAACAAACGCAAUCCAGGAGACUUGGAGUGGACGUCAAGGAAGCAACGAGGCGACCACGAGGUAGGAGGGCGCGCCCAGGGGGUAGGUGCGCCCCCACCCUCGUGGGCCCCUCGUGGCUCCACCGACCUACUUCUUUCGCCUAUAUAUACUCAUAUACCCUGAAAACAUCCAGGAGCACCACGAAACCCUAUUUCCACCGCCGCAAUCCUCUAUAGCCACGAAAACCAAUCGGGACCCUUUUCAGGCACCCUGCCAGAGAGGGGAUCCAUCACCGGUGGCCAUCUUCAUCAUCCUGGCGCUUUCCAUGAUGAUGAGGGAGUAGUUCACCCUCGGGGCUGAGGGUAUGUACCAGUAGCUAUGUGUUUGAUUUCUCUCUCUCUCAUAUUCUUGAUAUGGCACGAUCUUGAUGUAUCGCGAGCUUUGCUAUUGUAGUUGGAUCUUAUGAUGUUUCUCCCCUGUACUCUCUUGUAAUGGACUGAGUUUUCCCUUUGAAGUUUUCUUAUUGGAUUGAGUCUUUAAGGAUUUGAGAACACUUGAUGUAUGUCUUGCAUGUGCUUAUCUAUGGUGACAAUGGGAUAUUCACGUGAUCUACUUGAUGUAUGUUUUGGUGAUCAACUUGAGGGUUCAGUGACCUUGGGAACUUAUGCAUAGGGGUUGGCACACGUUUUUGUCUUGAAGCUCCGGUAGAAACUUUGGGGCACUCUUUGAAGUUCUUUGUGUUUGUUGAAUAGAUGAAUCUUAGAUUGUGUGAUGCAUAUCGUAUAAUCAUACCCACGGAUACUUGAGGUGACAUUGGAGUAUCUAGGUGACAUUAGGGUUUUGGUUGAUUUGUGUCUUAAGGUUUUAUUCUAGUAUGAACUCUAGGAUAGAUUGAACGGAAAGAAUAGCUUCGUGUUAUUUUACUACAGACUCUUGAAUCGAUCGAUCAGAAAGAAUAACUUUGAGGUGGUUUUGUACCCUACAAUAAUCUCUUCAUUUGUUCUCCGCUAUUAUUGACUUUAGAGUGACUCUUUGUUGCAUGUUGAGGGAUUGUUAUAUGAUCUAAUUAUGUUAUUAUUGUUGAGAGAACUUGCACUAGUGAAAGUAUGAACCCUAGGCCUUGUUUCCUAGCAUUGCGAUACCGUUUACGCUCACUUUUAUCGCUUGUUACCUUGCUGUUUUUAUAUUUUCAUAUUACAAAUACCUAUAUCUACCAUCCAUAUUGGACUUGUAUCACCCUCUCUUCGCCGAACUAGUGCACCUAUACAAUUUACCAUUGUCUUGGGUGUGUUGGGGACACAAGGGACUCUUUGUUAUUUGGUUGCAGGGUUGUUUGAGAGAGACCAUCUUCAUCCUACGCCUCCCACGGAUUGAUAAACCUUAGGUCAUCCACUUGAGGGAAACCUUAGGUCAUCCACUUGAGGGAAAUUUGCUACGGUCCUACAAAUCUCUGCACUUGGAGGCCCAACAAUGUCUACAAGAAGAAGGUUGCAUAGUAGACGUCAAGCUAUUUUCUAGCGCCGUUGCCGGGAAGGCGAGGUAAGCGGCACUAACACCCCGUCAACUAAGAUCUUUUCUGGCGCUGUUGCCGGGGAGGUUAGUGCUUGAAGGUAUAUCUUUAGAUCUUGCAAUCGAAUCUUUUUGUUUCUUGUUUUAUCACUAGUUUAGUCUAUAAAAGAAAACUACAAAAAAUGGAAUUGAGGAUGCCACAUAUGCUUCAUCUUUUUAAUAUCUUUCGUGAAAAUAAGGAUUCCGAUAAUUGUGCUCAAGUGCUAGAAGAAGAAUGCAAGAAUGUUUGUCACUAAAUCUUUGAAUGAUGAGCAUGAUUGCAAUGUUGUUAGUAUGAACUCUUUGAAUAUCCAUAGUACUAAUGAUGAUUGCACUAGUCAUGAUGAAAAUGUCUCUUAUAAGCAUGUCAACUUUUGUGGAGUACAUACAGUUUGCAAGUACACACCAAAUAUGGAAGAUAGAUUUUGCAAGAGGCAUAAGUAUUUAGAAACUAAAUGGUUGCAAUAAAGGCUAGAUGUUUGUGCUAAAAAAAUAAAUUUUCUUGGCCAUCCUUGUGAACUUUGCAAUGAACAUGGUCAUUUAAAUAUCCAAUGCAAAUUGUUUCAUGAUCGAAUCGUGUCUAAAAAUUGUGAUGACUUGAUUUCCCUUGCGCAUCAUAAUGAACUUAGUUUGCUUCUGGGUUAUGAAGAAAUGAAAUGUAUAACUAAGGAUAUUCCAGAAUUUGCCCUUGAGACAGUUCUUGAUUUUGAUCUAGAGGAAAUUUAUAUGUAUUGUGCAGUGAAUAGCAUUGAAAAUCCUUAUAUUGCCAAUUAAUAAAGACAAGAAAACAAAUAGAAGAUGAAGAGAAUACUAAUGAAAGGGAAGAGACUUCCCGAUAUUCUCCUAUUAUUUCUUGGGAUAAUUGAUUUUAUACCCCUAGUUGGGUCACACUCGGCAGGUUUACCCCUAGUUUUCGAAAACCCUCAGUUUUUCCCAAGACCGUUUGCUUCUAUUAUGGUUUUGCCCUUCCGUCACGUUUCCAUCCAGUUAGUGUCGUUUGACCGUGUGUUGACUGUCUAUGGACUUUUCAUUGGACUUAUUUGCCCCUGCUUCCUCACUCUCUCACUAGACACUUCCAAGUGGGACCCUCACUCAGAAAAAUUUCCUCUCUCUUCUCACUAACAUGUGGGUCCCACAAUGGACCAAAUAUCUCUAACGGACACUCCCAUGUUGUAAACAAAAUAUCAAUUUUUCAUUAUUUUUUAUGCAAAAACACCGCAUAAAUAAAUUAAUCAAAACACCGUAAUUAACACAAAUCAGUACUCCUACUUAAUGUCGGUCUCAUCUCGAAUAUAAUUAAUCAUCAAUCCAUAGUUGCCAGCUAUACCUAAUUAUCCCUCAAAAAAAAGCUGUACUACCUAAUUACAUUCGUUAAAAAACGCUGGGUUAACGAUUGAAAGGACGCCCUCUGCAGAACGAGGAUGAGCUUGCCGGAGCAAAGGAAUCGGUGCCGGAGUUCGCCGGAGCCAACGGAAUCGGCACGGGAGCUCGCCGGAGCCAAAGGAAUCGGCGCCGGAGCUCACCAAAUCCUCCUCGCCUGUGCUUCGCCAUGACGGGCGCUUGACCACCGCCGCUGCAGCAUGGAAGGAGGCCCGGGGGAGGAGCGCACCACCUCCUCCACCAUCUCUGCCCACCAUGCAUCCCCGGCGGCCUCCUUACAUUAGCCACCGACGAGAUCUGUGGCUCCACCACUGACCGGAACCCCGUUGGCCAUCUGCGGGACGCAUUGGAUCUGGGCCAGCAGGCGGCAUCGGUGUUGGCUGGCCCACGUUGGCGUGGAUGAGGGUCAACGAGGACACAGCCGCUACAGUUCAUGCCUCGCACAUUGCAGGACUGGAUUGAACAUGGCUCACGGCGGCGCAGCUCGUCACCAGAUCCACGUGGACGUCAGCUGUGAAUGGAUCGACAGAUGGACCUCCAUGGGCGGCGGCAUGGUGGCUUUGGUGCUGCUCCCUACUCCUAUUAGGGCAGAGAAAAGAGGAGGGUGAGAGAGACAGGGAGAAUCGAGAGACAAAGGGAGAGGGAAGGAGGAGAGGAAGGAGCACGGGCAGGGCGGCGCUCGCGCCCAGCCCCGACGGCCGACCAUGGAGACGAGGCGGGUCGACGCGGUUUUCCUCCUGCGGGUGCUCAAGCCCAACCCCGACAGGAUCCAUGGCUCCACCACCGGCGGGACCUCUGCUGGCCCUCCCUUCGCUGGCCACGGACGGGAUCUGUGGCUCCAGCACCGACAAGAUUUGAGAGUGAGGGGGGAGGGGAUCUAUGACUAGGGUUUGACCGCCGGGAGAGAAAUAAAAGGGAACAUGGGAUGGUUUUCAGAGUGAUGGGUCCCACUUGGCAGUGUCUCGCUAGAAGUGAAGAAACAGGGGCAAAAUGGUCCAAUGAAAAGUCCACAGACGGUCAACACACGGUCAAACGACACUAACUGGACGGAACCAUGACGGAAGGGCAAAACGAUAAGAAGAGCAAAGUGGCUUGGGCAAGACUGAGUGUUUUUUGAAACUAGGGGCAAAACUGCCGAGUGGGACUCAACUAAGGGCACAGAAAUAAUUAUCCCUUAUUUCUUAUGAUGAAUCAGGUAACGAGGAGGAGCCUUCUAUUCAACCAAUCUCAUUAAUAAGGAGCUCCAAAAAGAGGAUUAAACCCACACAUGAUGCGAAGAAGAAAAAGAGCAGACGGAGAAGCAGAGGUAAAAAGGUAUCCCUCCUAAAUGAUGUUGCUCCUAUUACUCAUUGUGAUGAUGAUAAUUGUUAUACUAUUGGUUCUAUCCAUAUUGUUUAUGAUGAGAGUGAUUAUGCUUAUGAUAUGCAAAGGCCCAAGCUUGGGGAUGCUAUGUUUGAUGAGAAUGACAUGUUUGAGAAUUUAUUUGGUGCAAUUAAUGUUUGUCCCAAGCUUGGGGAUGCUAUGUUUGAUGAAGAUGAUAUUUUUAGUCUCCCAUGUUUUGAUAUGCAAAUUUAUUAUGAUAGCAUGCCUCCUACCUAUGAUGAUUAUAUUGAUGAAAGUGGUUUUGUAAGAGUGUCAACUUUAGAAAGUAAUGAUCCUACUAUUUUGGAGGGUGUUGAAUUUUAUUGUGAUAAUCAUAAAAGUGGAUUUGGAGAGGUCGUGAAUUUAUUUAGUAAUGAUUCCACUAUCUUGGAAGAGGUUUCAAUUGAUUAUGAUGAGAACAAAAUUGCUACUUAUGAUGGUUAUUGUGAUGAUACUUAUGCUAUAAAAAGUAGUGACGAUUAUAUUUAUAAAACUUGUCAUGAUUAUGAUUACCCUUUUUUGAACAUUAUUCUUUUAAUGUGGAAACAAUUUAUAGUAUUCGAGUCUCUUAUGAUACUCCCACUAUUCCUAACGAGAAGAAAUUUGCUUAUGGGGAGAGUAGUAAAAUUUAUAUGCUUGUGCAUCAUGAAAAUAAUGCUUUAUGUGAUGGUUAUAUUGUUGAAUUCAUUCAUGAUGCUACUGAAAAUUAUUAUGAGGGAGGAAUAUAUGCUUGUAGGAAUUGCAAUAAUAUCAAGUUUCCUCUCAAUGUGUUGAAAAUCUUGAAGUUAUGUUUGUUUUGCCUUCCUAUGCUAGUUUAUUAUUGUCCCCAUAAGUUGUUUGCUCACAAAAUACCUAUGCAUAGCAAGUGUGUUAGACUUAAAUGUGCUAGUCAUAUUCUUCAUGAUACCCUCUUUAUGUUUCAAUUCUUAUCCUUUAUGUGAGCAUCAUUGAAAUCAUCAUGCAUAGCUAGGGGCGUUAAACGUAAGCGCUUGUUGGGAGGCAACUGUCACAACCCUAGAUUAUUGCUUGUAUUAGUUGCAUCUUAGAACUUAUGUUUCAUGUCUAAAUUUCUAAAACUUGAACUGAGGAAAUUAGAAAGCCUCAAAACUUCCUAAAAGAAGGGCAAGAACCCUUUAAAUUGCAUUCAGUGAUUCCAAUAUGCCCUAAAAAUCAUUCUGGUAAUUUUGGCAAGAGAUAUAUAUCAAACCAAAAUUCUGGAACAUUUUUAUGGAAUAUUUUGGGACAUUGAAUUUAAAUCAUAUUAUAUUUGGAUUUGAAGUUAUAUUCAUAAUAUAUAAUGAUUAUAGUUUCAAAUGCCUGUGAUAUUUUAUGUAUAUGUGGAGAAGUCCAUUAAGUGACAUAAAAAUAUCCAUGGGAGUUUUGGCACUGUUUUCAAUUUGUUUAAAUUUGAAUUCCGUGGCAAAAGAAUUAUUAAAAAAGAAAACAAAACAGAAAACAUAAAAUAGAGCAGAAGAACUUACCUGUAGCUUACCUGGCAGACUACUUACCUCGGGCCAGUUCCUGUGCAGCCCGGCCACCUCCCCUGCCAGUUGUCUUCCUCCUCUCGCCAGAAGGAAGAGGGGAAGCAGUGCACGGCGCUUGCGCGUGCGGGCAUGCAGCUGCCUGCUUGGCCCCUCCCUAGCCAGCGCGAUGCUUGGAACCCACCGACCCCUCGCUCACUCUUCCCCCUCGCCCGCUCGCCCCCUUCACGCCAUUGCCGACGCACGCCCAAGCUCAUCGCCGCCGUAGUCGUGUCAACAACAUCCCCCGUGCCUCUCCGAUGUGACCUAGAUCUUCACAGUCGACCUAUACGCCGUCUCCGCCAAGCCACGUGAGCGGACGCGCCCUGCAGAAGCAUCCCCAACUCCUUCUUCCUCCUUCAGCUGCCAAGAUCGCCGGUGACCACACCUCGUCCCCAGGCCGUCCACGAGCCCGCUGAGGCCACCGUCGCAAUCCCAGUGAGCUCUUCUAUCUUCCACGUCACUCCCCGUGCCCUAAUUUGUGCACUAGCCACCGCCCCGCGAGUUCCGAGCGCUGCCGUCUGCCAUGGCCGAUGUGGUCCUCGCUCUUGAGCACCUCCGCGCGGUAGAGUGGCACCAGCGUGCUCGUGGAGCUCCCAGGAGUCCGCCCCACCGCUUAGCUCGCUCAUCAGCCAAGCGUAGCGCCCCGCCCGUGCUAAGCCGAACUCUGGCCACCGCAUCACUCGACGCCGUGCUCAACUCCGGCCAACCAUGCCUCCGUUGUUUGCUACAUAGGAUGCGCGUCACUCCCGGGAGCCCGUAGGUGCAAGCGGCUCUUCAAACCGGCCCCGUAGCGAAAGUUCGAUGCCUCCGCCGCGGAUUUGGUCGCCGGCGUUUACACGCUGUCGUAAUGACAUGGCACCAUCAUUGGGGCUUAAUCGCGUUUAGUUUAAUCACACCAGCCGCUGACAUCAGGGCCCCACCAGCGAAAUAACCUCGGGUUAUUUUCUUAACUACAUUUAGUUAAAACUAGUGGGCCCACCUGUCAGCUUUGACCAUGCUGACAUGGCCAUUGACUAGGCGCACCCGUCAGUGACCCAAGCCAGCACUAUUACACUAACCACUGGGACCCACUGGUCAUGUUUGACUCGGGCAGCUCUGUUGACCAGUUGACGUCACGGUGACGCGAUGCUGACGCACUAAGUCAUUUCUGGAUUAAAUUUAAUCAGAAAAUUUCAGAAAAUGCCCUAAACUUCUAAAAUUCAUAGAAAAUUAUCUAUAACUCCAAAUAAGAUAAAUUUUAUAUGAAACAUGAUCAGAAAAAUCCAAUCUAUCCAUAUGUAGCAUUUUCAUGCAUGUUAGAACAACUUAGAGCUACUGUUUAGGAUAAAUCAUGUAAAUGGCAUUUGAAUUUCCACAUAUGGAGUUUGAAUUUGAAUCUUGGAUUCACACCAACUUCAUUUAACCUGUUGCUAGCUGCAUUAGCUCAAAUCACAGCAUAUUGACAUGUCAUGAUCAUGCAUCAUAUUGUGCAUUGUUGAUUGUGUUAUUCCUUGUUUGCCGGUGUUUGUCCCCUCUCGAUAGACGUGGUUCCGAUGAUGAGAUCGAUGACACCGAUGAAGAGAUAUACUAUCUUCAGAAGUGCCAGGCAAGCAAAACCCCCUUGUUCAUUCCAAUACAAUCCCACUCUCUCGCUCCUGCUCUCUUUUACUGCUUUAGGAUAAUAAUGUUUCAACUGUUACCUGCUGCGGUAGCUGAACCCCUUUCCUCUGCAUGACCUGUCAUUGCCAUAGUAAAUAGUUGAAACCCACUAGCAUGAGUAGGACUUGUUUGAGCCAUGAUGUGCCUAUCAUUCAUGUUUGUUUGUCAUGCCUGCUAUUGCUUAGAGUUGUGUUAGGUCUGAUUCAUCGGGGAUGAAUUCGAAAGUUGUGAACAUGUCCUACUGUUGAGAGCUAAGUGUGUGAACACGAUUUGGUAAAGGUAGCAAUGAGAGGCCAUGUAGGAGUACAUGGUGGGUUGUCUCAUUGAAACCGUCCACAGGAACUGAGUUCUGUGUUUGUGAUCCAUGAAUAGCUACUACCACGCAUUGGAAUGCUUAAGUGCCCCUCUUGACUUAUUAAUCAACUCGAGCUCUAUCCAUGAGUUGCAACUAGUUUCUGGUGUUUGUAGGUAGUGCUAGUAGUCUACCAAGUGGCAUCUGGUAUAGGUGGGCUUGGGACAGACUAGGUGCAGUGGCACGGUGUACCAAUUGGCACCCGAAUGGUGGGCUUGGGAACCCUGAUCACAUCGUUUGGGGCCGUGAGCGACACCCCGAUUGGAUCUCCUUGCGUAUGGAACCCGAAUAGGCGAUAAACCUGGACUAGAGACUUGUGUGGUUAGUCAGGUCAUGGCUGACACCCUCGGCAGGCUUCCGCUAGAAGGUUGCUGAGAUACAUGACGUGUACAUGUCGGUAAGUGGCGGGAGCGUGUGUGAAGAAGUACACCCCUGCAGGGUUAACAUCAUCUAUUCGAAUAGCCGCGUCCAUGGUAAAGGACCUCUGGGUUGCCUACACAAUUCAUAGACAAGUGAAAGUGGAUACUUGAAAAUGCGUAAGAUAAGCGUGAGUGCUAUGGAUGGCCUUCUCAUAGGGAGACGGGAGCGGAUCCAUAGUGGUGUAUUGAUAUGGUGAAUAUGUGGACUCGUGUGCGCCACCUCAAAAGAGUUGCUUGCAGCCGUAGUUCAGGAUAGCCACUGAGUCAAAGCUGGCUUGCUGCAGUCAAAGUCCACCAACCCCCUUUGUUGAUACUGAUGCAUAUGUGUAGAUAGUUCUGAUGUAAGUCUUCCUGGGUACAUUUGUACUCACGUUUGCUUAAUUUAUGUUUUGCAGAGAGACUUCAGUCUUGCUAGUAGUUCCGCGUGGACUUCGACGUUUAGCUUGUUACCUCAGCUACGAUCUUGUGCCCUCGGUAGGAUCUGAUAGAUAGUCAGGCUUCUCAGCCCUUUUCAUUUGUAGUUGUCUGUACUCAGACAUGUUAAGCUUCCUCUUGUGCUUUGCUUCUAUGCUCUGAAUGUUGGAUCAUGAGACCCAUGUUUGUAAUAUCUCGCUCCUCGGAGCCUAUUGAAUAAUUACUUGAGUUGUAGAGUCAUGUUGUGAUGCCAUGUUGUAUUUGCACAUAUUGGACAUAUUGUGUGUAUGAUUAUUGAAAUUCUUGGUAUGUGUGGGAUCCGACAACCUAGUUAUUUAUUCUUGGUAGCCUCUCUUAUCGGGAAAUGUCUCCUAGUGCUUCCACUGAGCCAUGGUAGCUUGCUACUGCUCCAGAACACUUAGGUUGGCCGGCAUGUGUCCUUCUUUGUUCCUGUGUCUGUCCCUUUGGGGAAAUAUCGCACGUUGUUCCUUUAAGUCCCUGUAGCUUUCUACGACUUGGGUUCAUACGUUGCUGAUCGACACAUUCGUUGCUGGGUCAUGUAUGCCUGUCCCUAUAAGUUAGCGCCACCUUGGGUUUACGACUAGUCAUGUCGGCCCGGGUUUUAUGUCAUAUGGAUGCUAGUGGCACUAUCUUAUACGUGAGCCCAAAGGCACAAACGGUCCUGGGCCAGGUAAGGUGGCACCCGUGGGGAUACCGCGCGUGAGGCCACAAAGUGAUAUGAUGUGUUACAUGCUAGAUCGGUGUGACUUAGGAUCGGGGUCCUAACAUCAACCCAAUUUUAUUUUUGUUCUUUGCCUUUUGCCCCUGUUUAGUAAUAAAUAAUUCAUAUAGCCUCUGUUUAGAUGUGGUUUUAUGUUUUAAUUAGUGUUUGUGCCAAGUAGAACCUUUGGGAAUACUUGGGUGAAGCCUUUGCGAUCUUGCUGUAAAAAAAGUAGAAACUUUUGCACGCACGAGAUUAGUUUUCAUAAAUCACAGACACGUGCUUUUGAGGUGAUUCUUUUUUAAGAAGAUUAAUAAAAACAUUAUUUAGGACUUCCUAAUUUGGUAGAAUUUUUGGGGUUCCAUAAGUAUUUGAGAGUUACAGAUUGCUACAGACUGUUCUGUUUUUGACAGAUUCUAUUUUUCGUGUGUUGUUUGCUUAUUUUGAUGAAUCUAUGGCUAGUAUCGGGGGGGGGGGGUAUGAACCAUAGAUAAGUUGGAAUAUAGUCGGUUUAACACCAAUAUAAAUAAAUAAUGAGUUCAUUACAGUACCUUAAAGUGGUGGUUUGUUUUCUUGCACUAACGGAGCUCAUGAGAUUUUCUGUUGAGUUUUGUGUUGUGAAGUUUUCAAGUUUUGGGUAAAGAUUUGAUGGAUUUUGGAAUAAGGAGAGGCAAGAGCCUAAGCUUGGGGAUGCCUAAGGCACCCCAAGGUAAAAUUCAAGGACAACCAAAAGCCUGAGCUUGGGGAUGCCCAUGAAGGCAUCCCCUCUUUCGUCUUCGUCUAUCGGUAACUUUACUUGAGGCUAUAUUUUUAUUCACCACAUGAUAUGUGUUUUGCUUGGAGCGUCUUGUAUGAUUUGAGUCUUUGCCUUUUAGUUUAUCACAAUCAUCCUUUCUGUACACACCUUUUGGAGAGACACACAUGAAUCGGAAUUUAUUAAAAUACUCUAUGUGCUUCACUUAUAUCUUUUGAGCUAGACAAUUUUGCUCUAGUGCUUCACUUAUACCUUUUUAGAGCACGGUGGUGGUUUUGUUUUGUAGAAAUUAUUGAUCUCUCAUGCUUCACUUAUAUUAUUUUGAGAGUCUUUUAGAACAUCAUGGUAAUUUGCUUUGGUUAUAAAUCCAAAUAUGAUGGGCAUCCAAGUUGGGUAAAAUAAAAACUUUCAUAUGGAGUGCAUUAAACACUAUGAUAAAUUUGAUACUUGAUAAUUGUUUUGAUAUAUAAAGGUGGUAAUGUUAGAGUCAUGCUAGUUGGGUAAUUUUGAAAUUGAGAAAUACUUGUGUAAAAGUUGGAAAGUCCCGUAGCAUGCACGUAUGGUGAACAUUGUGUGACAAAUUUGAAGAACGGGGUGUUCUUUGAUUGCCUUCCUUAUGAGUGGAGGUCGGGAUCGCGCGAUGGUUAACUCCUACCAACCCUUCCCCUAGGAGCAUGCAUAUAUAGUAGUACUUUGCUUCGAGGGCUCACUACAAGAAAUAUGUCAACUAGUGACCUUCUGUCAGUGACCCUGGAAGAAUUGGUCAUAGAUCUAUGACCAUUUGAGACCAAUUGGUCAAAAGCUGUUCGGGGGGCUCCAAACCCUAAACCACUGCGACCAUUUUGGUCAGAAAGGUCGUAAUUUCCUUACAUGAAAUGGUCACAAAGCAAACAGUGCAGGUCCGCUGCCUUAUUUCUAGUUGUUAACGACCAAUAUAGAUGGUCAUAGCCUUGUAGAUUGUGGUGGGUUGUGAUGACUAGGCGCCAUCUCAUCAGUUUUGCCUAUGUGUCAUGUCCAUGUGUCAAUUUUUGCCCUAGGUUGUGAAGCAACCUAUAUUUCUGUUAUUCCAAAAAUUCCCAAAAAAUUCUCAUAAAUUGUUUGGAUCAUAUCUUCAUCAAAUAUGUCAAAAACCUUCCUUGCAUAGUUCAAAAAUAACUCAACAACAUUCAUUUUCCUAUCCUGUUCAAAGCAGCACUUUGUGAAGGAAGUACCACUUUGGCAUGUCCAAAUGGUAUCCAUUUUCUACAGUGCUUUCCUAUGCCCAAAUAACCAUCCUCCACCAAAUGCCAGCUUAAUCCAUUCAUUAUUUUGAGCCCAACUUCAACAUUCGUAUUUAUGUCCAGUGUGGUACUUUACAAAGCAAGUACCACCUAGGCUCCUCCUUUUGAUGUGAAAAUUGUGAAGACGGUCUUCUUAGUAACUGAUCAUCCUCAGCCAAAACUCACGCCCAUUAGCCAUGUGCAUUUCCCUUACUACAAAUCAAACACUUGGCUGCUUAUUCAUGUUUGAGCAUCGAUCGGUCUCCUCGUGAGAAUCUUAUGUUGUGAUUUUCUUCCUAGCACCUACCUGGGGCGUGCCCAACCCACUAGACAUGCCCAGGCCGCGCAGAACACAUGGCAACGCCACGGUCACAUGGUGACCACGCAGCGGGCAUGCGAGCUUACGCGCUCUAGAGUUGGGGCCCUCGGCCAUCGUCCAAACCUCGAUGUCUCACCAUCAAACCAUGUAUUUCUGAUUAAAUAGAUACUUAUUUACCUAGAAAUGAUUUUUGGAAAAAAUAAAGAGCAAACUAUGAGGCAGCUGCAGUUCAAAUUUGACCCGCUUCCAACUGAAUCGACGGGAAUUUGUCUUUUUCACCAGAGGUGAAUCAAAAAAUUUGACACCCAACCAUUUUGUCAAUUGUGCAUUAAAUAUGGCCUAGUAUUUUAUAAAAUUGAUUAGGUCCAAUUUUGCAACAAAUAUAUGGUAGGUCCUUCACUAAAAAAACUCAUUUCGGGCACUCAGAAAAUGGCAAAUGAAUUUUCCGUGCAAAGAAAAUGAAAACUCCCUUAGGCAACAUUGUUUGGAAUUCCAAGAUGCACCCUUGUGCACAAUAUUAGAUCAUUUGAACAAACUAUGCCAUGAAUGUGACCAUAAGAUUGAUCAUUUGGCUUGAAAGCCAUGAAUCUUCACACUUGAUAGCUCAUUUCUCAGAACACUUUUUAAAAAUAAUUACCGUAUUACAAGUUUAUUAUUUUUCCUGGAAACUUGGUCACAUAUAAUGACACAAUGCGAAGGUUUUCCAAUUUUUUUGAUUUUUUUGAAUUUUUUAUGCCCGUUUCAAAAUGCAGUCAAAACGGCGGGCUUGACCAUUCCUAGCUAGUGGUUGAAUCUUGGAAAACUUUUUAUGUUUCUCUGAUUAAGUAGAUACUUAUGUACCUAGAAAUGAUUUUUGGAAAAAAUAAAGAGCAAACUAUGAGGUAGCUGCAGUUCAAAUUUGACCCGUUUCAAGCUGAAUCGACGGGAAUUUGUAUUUUUCACCUGAGGUGGAUCAAAAAAUUUUUACACCCAACCAUUUGGUCAAUUGUGCAUUAAAUAUGUCCUAGUAUUUUAUAAAAAUGAUUUGGUCCAAUUUUGCAACAAUUAUUUGGUAGGUCCUUCACAAAAAACCUCAUUUGGGGCACUCGAAAAAUGGAAAAUGGUUUUUUCGUCCAAAGAAAAUGAAAACUUCCUUAGGCAACAUUGUUUGCCAUUCCAAUAUGCACCCUUGUGCACAAUAUGAGAUCAUUUGAACAAACUAUGCCAUGAAUGUGGCCAUAAGAUUGAUCAUUUGGCUUGAUAGCCAUGAAUCUUCACGCAUGAUAGCUCGUUUCUGAGAACACUUUUUAAAAAUAAUUACUGUAUUACAAGUUUAUUAUUUUUCCUGGAAACUUGGUCACAUAUAAUGACACAAUGCGAAGGUUUUCCAAUUUUUUGAUUUUUUUUGAAUUUUUUAUGCCCGUUUCAAAAUGCGGUCAAAACGGCGGGCUUGACCGUUCCUAGCUAGUGAUGGAAUCUUGGAAAACUUUUGAUGUUUCUCUGAUUAAAUGGAUACUUAUGUACCUAGAAAUGAUUUUUGGAAAAAAUAAAUAGAAAACUAUGAGGCAGCUGCAGUUCAAAUUUGACCCGUUUCCAGCUGAAUCGGCGGGAAUUUGUCUUUUUCACCAGAGGUGGAUCAAAAACGUUUUACACCUAACCAUUUGGUCAAUUGUGCAUUAUAUAUGUCCUAGUAUUUUAGAAAAAUGAUUUGGUCCAAUUUUGCAACAAUUAUUUGGUAGGUCCUUCACAAAAAACCUCAUUUGGGGCACUCGAAAAAUGGAAAAUGGUUUUUUCGUCCAAAGAAAAUGAAAACUUCCUUAGGCAACAUUGUUUGCCAUUCCAAUAUGCACCCUUGUGCACAAUAUGAGAUCAUUUGAACAAACUAUGACAUGAAUGUGGCCAUAAGAUUGAUCAUUUGGCUUGAUAGCGAUGAAUCUUCACGCAUGAUAGCUCGUUUCUGAGAACACUUUUUUAAAAUAAUUGCCGUAUUACAAGUUUAUUAUUUUUGCUGGGAACCUGGCCACAUAUAAUGACACAAUGCAAAUGUUUUGCAAUUUUUUGAUUUUUUUUGAAUUUUUUAUGCCCGUUUCAAAAUGCGGUCAAAACGGCGGGAAUGACCAUUCCUAGCUAGUGGUUGAAUCUUGGAAUUUUUUUGGUGUUUCUCUUAUUAAAUUGAUACUUAUGUACCUAGAAUUGAUUUUUGGAAAAAAUAAAGAGCAAACUACAAGGCAGCUACAGUUCAAAUUUGACCCGCUUCCAACUGAAUCGACAGAAAUUUGCCUUUUUCACGAGAGGUGGAUAAAAGCUUUUGACACACAACCAUUUGGUAAAUUAUGCAUUAAAUAUGGCCUAGUAUUUUAGAAAAUUGAUUUGGUACAAUUUUGCAACAAUUAUUCAGUAGGUUCUUCACAAAAAAAACUUAUUUUAAGCACUCGAAAAAUGGGAAAUGAAUUUUUCAUGCAAAGAAAAUGAAAAGUUCCGUAGUCAACAUUGUUUGUCAUUCAAGAAACAAACUUGUGCACAAUGUGUGACCAUUUUUAUGAUUUUUUCAUGUGUAAAAGUUGAAGAAAAACAAAAGAAAAAACAC